rnacentral:lncRNA from 1 species
UAACCAGAUUCUGGUGGGACUCUAAACCAGGAAAAAUGAAGAUGUGCUGGAUUGCUUGGUCUAAACUAGUGAAAUCAAAGAAAGAGGGAGGCCUUGGAUUAAGAGAGAUCCAAAGUUUCAAUGAUGCCCUACUGGCUAAAAUCACUUGGAGAAUCAUUCAGAAUCCAUCCAGCCUUCUCGCAAGGAUCCUCAUUGGAAAAUACUGCCAAGGCUCAAACAUCCUAGAGGUCCAAAGUUCGACUACCACUUCUCACGGCUGGAGAGGAAUUUUGAUCGGAAGAGAUCUAAUUAUCAAACAACUCGGUGUGGCCAUAGGUAAUGGAAAAAACACAUACCUAUAGAAGGACCCCUGGACAACCUCAACGACCAAUACGCCCCCCACAUCAAACCACAAAAUACAUGAGAGUUGUAGACCUAAUCCUACCAUCAACUGGAAAAUGGGAUAAAGAAAAGAUAGAAGAACUCUUACCGCAGUAUGCUUCUGAGAUCCUUAGCCUGAAACCUAGCCGUACUAGAGCUGAAGACACCUAUAUCUGGCUUCCCAGUAAGAAUGGAGAGUAUUCAACAAAAACCUGUUAUCAUAUUGCUUUAGAAGGCAAAGAAGGAUUAGGUUCAAACCUGCCUACGAACUUCAAUUGGAAUGCGGAGAUAUGGAAAGGCAGGUUCUCGCCAAAGCUGAAAGUGUUCAUGUGGAAAAUUAUCCAAAAGGCUAUUCCUGUAGGCGAAAACCUUCUCAACCGAGGCAUAGAUGCUGAUCCCGGGUGUAUUCACUGUGGUGAACUUGAAUCGGCUGAACAUCUCUUCUUUGAGUGUCCCUUUGCCCGUGAAGUUUGGACCUUGCUCCCUUUAAAAACCCCUUUCAAACCAUCUCGCUUCCAGGAAUUCCAUCAAGGCCUAAUCGCAUCAAAAGGCAUAACCUGUCUCCCACCAACGGGAAUCGAAGCUGGACUGAUCUUCCCAUGGCUCUGCUGGGCCAUUUGGACAGCUCGUAACCAAGCCCUCUUUGAAGAUAGACGUUUUAGCCCACAUGAUACGGUGAACAAAGCAAUCGGUGAAGCUCGAGCAUGGCAGCAAGCUCAAGAGCAAAAUAAAAAAAAACCCAAUGAUCAAUUCACCACCUAUCUCUGAAAGAUCAGCACCUGAAGCAAAUCCAGAAAUCAUCACUUGCCAUACCGAUGCGGCAUGGAGAAAAGAAACAAAAUCGGCAGGAUUGAAAUUUACCUUCUCAGACCAUUUGGGCGCUGAACUACACUUCGGAAGUGCCACCAACAACCUGGUCUCCUCACCACUUAUCGCGGAGGUGUUGGCAAUUGAUGUGGUCUGUGUCGAGGGUUGUCAGGUUUUACCCUAAAUGAAAUCAAUAGCUGCAAGUUGAUAACACCGGAUUUUGACCAUUUUUAUGGAUCACUUUAAUGUUUUUUACAAGUGUUUUUACUCCAUUUUCAAAGGUUUUCAAAAGAUUUCUAUGUUUUCGGAUUUUAAAAGACUUUUCAGGUAAUUUGGGAUAAAGAGGCACAAAUUGGAACAAAAAGACUCUUUUGGAUAAAUGCAGACCGUCAGAACUCUCAUGGAGAGACGAAGACCUUUUCACCGUCUGAUCACCCUCAAAAUUGGACAACUUAUAGAAGAAUCAACCAGCUUUCAAAUGCACUUGGUUUGGAAAUAUUCCAACAGUUGGAUCUCAAGAUAUUCCAUUAGCCCCGGAGCCACUCGAAGACGGCCAGCAAGUCACGCGACCGCAGCCAACAGCCCAUUCCCCGCGGUCACAAGCCUUCCGACCACGGCCAGCCACCUAUUUCCCGCGGUCACGUCAUUCCCGACCGCGGCCGGCUAACUCUGAACUAAAGCCCAUAUUUCUGAAGCCCAAAGUCAUUCUCAGCCUCAAUUCCGGAACCCUAGAGACCAUGGAGUAUUGAAGACUAUAAAUGCUUGUCAUUUAGGUCGUUUUUAGACACCACCCUUCAUACUUUACAGAAACCCUUUUCCUUUAGCAGUUUUUAUGCGAUUUUUGUAGAAGAUUGUUCAAGUUCGAGUUCUUCAAUAGAGAAGCUUUCUUCAUCUCUUUUCUUUACUGUUUUUGAUUACUUUUAUUAAACCAAUGAUGAUGUCGAACUCAGCCAUGUCUGAGUAGAUCCCGAGUUGGGCUUAGGGUUCCCGAAAGGGGAUCUCAUAAUCUAUUAAGACAUCUAGGGUUAUUGAUCUGGGAUUUCAACUUUGUUCUCUGUUUAUUCUUGUUCUUAUUGCAUGUAUGCUUGAUUGAUCACCUAGUAUCUGAUCUAGAUAGUUAGUGUUGCGAAAGUUUUCAUUAAAUAUCAGCCCUAGAAUGAAACAGGUGAUUUUUUCGUAGGUGUGGAAACCUACCUGCGGCGAGAUCGUGAGUAUUGAUGAGUCUUGUGCAGCUCUUGCGUUCUCUCCCUUCCAGGGCUAGAGUGGAAACCUACUGGUCAGGGUUGCGAGAAACAGUUGGUUAUGAUCACGACAAUGACGUAGUCAUACCGCUGUACUCUAGCACUAGAACUUCAUAUAUCGAUAUCCGUCAAUCCCAAUCUAUCUACCUUAGUGUUAAAACCGAUUAUGAUCCCUGUAGAGUUCCCAAAAGCUCAGCGUUUUAGCCAUAGUUUACAAACCAAUCGAUUUUUACUUGCUUAUUUAGAUCUGCAUUUCAAUUGUUUUAGUUCGAUAUUUUGCUUGCUCUACUUGCUUUCUACUCGAUUUUUCUACUUGUUUUCUAGGAUAGAUUUAUUCGCUUUCUUUAAUUUUAGUUUAAUCCGUGAAAAACAACCAACCUCUAAAACCAAUCUAGUCUAGACAUAAAGUUAGAAACCGUAGAAGAAUACCAGGCACACAAAUCUCUGUGGAUUCGAUCCCUAAAUACUACAACUGAUUAACUGUGCACUUGCGGCUUUCAUUUGUUUUUGUUAAGGGUAAAAUUUGUUCCCUCACGCAGUUGACACGCAUCAAGUUUUUGGCGCCGUUGCCGGGGAUUUGUUUCGCUGCCUUUUGCUAUUUUUCUUGUUUUAACUUCUGUUCUAGACACCUGAUCUCUAGUUCUUUCUUAAAGUUUUGCUGAAUUAUCUUUCCCUUCUUUUGUUUUUCUCUGAACUGCAUGAAUACCAGGCGCAGACCUGUAGAAAACAUUCCAAUUCUAGACGAGAUAGACAGACACGAAAGAGAACUUCGAAGACUUAGACGAACGCAAGGAAUGACCAACGACGACCAGCCUGGAGAUCCUAUUGACAGAGCUUUAAAUAUGGACCAAGACGGGUCCGAACAUGGAGAAAAGGAAGAGAAUGAUCACAGAGGAGGUGAUCAUGCUCGACAAGAUGGAGAGGAGGAUGAGGUUCCUCCAAGAAACCACCAGAAUCGCGAAAGAGAAGGAUGAUGCACCCAUCAAUGCAGCCGAUGGUGACCACCAAGGAAUGCAGCCGAAUGGGCGCGCUAACCGCCCUGUGCAGCCAGCAAACCAACACCGAAGACAAGCCAGGAACCAUCGCAUAGCUGAUUUUGGUGCACCUACUCAAAAUUUUCAGAACCGAUCUCCAAUCCAAGUUCCAUUUCCGAACCGGAAUGAGUUUGAAGUCAAGCCUCAAAUCAUCUCAUUGGUGAAACAAAACCAAUUCCAUGGAGUUUCUUCUGAACACCCAAUGGACCAUAUCGAGCUCUUUGAAGUAAUCUGCAGCAUGAUGAGAACAAACCAAGUUCCAGCAGACUAUUUAAAGUGUAAGUUGUUCCCUUUUUCAUUAGCAGACAAAGCUCACCGUUGGUUGAAAUCUUUGCCUGCAGGAUCGAUUACUAAUUGGGAAGAGUGUAAAACUGCUUUCCUGAAUCACUUCUAUACUAAGUCAAGGUCGAACUUGUUGAGAACAAAGAUCUCAAGCUUUCAGCAAGGACCGACUGAAUCUUUCUAUGAAUCCUGAGAACGUUUUAAGGAGUAUGAACGUGAUUGCCCUCACCAUGGAUUUCUUGGAUCAAGCCUGCUGAGCACAUUUUACCGAGGUUUGCAACCAAAAUACAAACUUUCGCUUGAUACAACUAACAAUGGAGAUUUUGGACAAAAGACGAUAGCACAAGGAAGAGCCCUCAUCGAGAAUUUGGCUCAAGCCAAUAGCAACGAUUGUCCUGAAUACGAUCGCUCGAUGAAGCAAACUGGAACAGACAACAAGGAGAUAAAUGAGUUGAAGAACAUGAUGAGCCAGCUUCUGAAGAGCAACAAUCGCCCAAUCCAUGCUUGUGAGACUAACAAUGGUGCAGAAGAUGAAGGACCUAGUGAUAUCGAUCACAUUAAUCAAGCCUUUCAAGAAGAAGAGGUGAACUAUGUAGCACAAGCACCAUAUCCAAAUCGCUUCAACAAUGGCUUCAACAACAACUUCCGGAAUGCAGAUUACAACAAUCGCUCUUACCGCAAUCAAAAUGUGGAGAAUCCUCAAGAUCAGUACUACCCACCACAGCAAAAAUCCUUCCAAAACAAGUUCCAAGGUGGAAACUUCGGAGGGACAGGAACUUAUCAACCGCGACAGCCAUAUAACUACCAAGGUACGGGUUUUAACAAUCAAUUUGUACAACAGCAGGAAGUCACGACGAACCAGCUAGCUUCACAAAUCGGUAGACUUGAACAGUCCAUCCAACAGCUCGUUAUGACGAACGAAAAAGCAUCUAAAGACAUGAACGUGAAGGUUGAUUGCAUGUACAAUGACCUGAACGGGAAGUUUGAAGCUUUAUCUUCGCACGUCAAAAAGCUAGACGUGCAAGUCGCCCAAACAGCCGACUCUAUGAAGAGGAAAAGUGGAGUUCUUCCAGGAAGAGUUGAAGAUAACCCUAAGAGGUUUUGCAACGCCAUAACCACAUUGCCCGAAGAAGAGGCCAGAACCGAUAGAAAGAAAGAAGAAACCCCAAUCUUUGUUCCACUUUACAAGGAUGUCGAUGCCAAGCAGCCACCAUUUAAGGUACCUCAACGAUCACCGUUUCAAAGGCUUACAAAAGCCGACGAUCCGGGACGUUUUGUUUUCCAAUGUUUCAUUUCAGGAAUCAGUUUCACAGACUGCCUGUGCGAUUCCGAAGCCAAUGUCAACAUCAUGUCAAAGACAUUUGCCAAAAAAUUGGGCAUAAAAACCUUAAGGACAUCGACGGUUAAGGUUAUCUUUGGAGAUUCAUCUCAAAAAGAUACUGAAGGGGCGAUUCAUGAUCUACAAGUUCUAGUUGGAGACAAGAUUGUUUCAGCAGAUUUCCAUGUCCUGGAGAUGGAUAAAGACAAGGACAGGCCACUCAUUUUCGGGAGACCAUUCCUAGCUACCGUAGGAGCAGUAAUCGAUCACGCAAACCGACAUGCUGUUUUCCUCAAUGUAGAUCGCAGAAGGUUUUACCAGACUAUCCUAGAUGAUUUUCCAAGCAAAGGAAACCGGAAAAAGAGAAAGAAAAGGAGAAGCUGAAAGCUUUUGCAAAGAUCAAGAUCAUCAUUCCACCAGAUGCAACAGAUAGUAGUGAUGACCAAAUCCAGGAGCUGAUCGAAAACACAAAAAGAGUUUUAAACAAUGUUAAAGUCCGAAAGAAGAGUAAAGGAAAGAAGACGGCUCCUCAAGGAGAAGAAGUAAAACCUCCAGCGACCGGAAGUGAUAAGGGCACAUCAAGUGGAGUGCCAUUCAAAUCAGCCUGAUUCUUCAUACCUACGUCGAGCUAAACGACUUAAAACAAAAGCACUUAAUGGGAGGCAACCCAUUUAGGUACUCUUUCUUUUAGUUUUCUUUUCCUUUUUACAAUUUUUGUUUUCUUUUUCUUUUUAGUUUCAGAUAUUUUAUAAAACAAAAACACAAAAAAAUCAGAAAAUUAGAAAAACCAAGAAGAAAAGGAUAGGUUUUUAGCUACUCGGCCCGGCAAAGACCAGAAAGUUGGACGAAGGCCGCAGGAGAAAGGGCUGCGGUCGCGACCAACCAACCCACGACCAAGGGAGCAUCGACCGCGGCACGGUGAAUGUGACCGCGGCCGAGCCCAUGAUCGCUGCGGUCGCGCGUCUCCUGACCGCGGCCGUUGGUCGUUGAGAUAAAAAAGCGGAUUUCCGCCGCUUUUCAAAAUUCCCGGUGAUUUCUGAAGUAUUCCCGGUAAAACCCGUUAAGAUUUUUCGUAAGUUUUAAACCUCCGUUGCGUGCAAGAUAAGAAAGGUAAGUUCCCGGAAAUUUUCUGUUUUUGCUACAAAAACGCUUUUUAAAGAAAGGAAAUGCACUUUUUGGAUCAAAACUCCUUUUUCUCUUCUCUUCCAAAAGACUUGGAGAUUUAGGAGAUAGAACACCUUUUUCAAUUCUUAAGCUUUUUAAGAGAUUCUUGGCCCAAACCUCACUCUUUUUCAAAGCUGAUUUUAAUUCUGUCAUCAAAUCUCUCUUUCCAGCAAGGUAUGAAGCUCAAACUCGCCAUUUUUAAUUAAUUUUUGAACUUAGAGUUUUCUUAAAAAGCCCAAAUCUUGGUUUAUUGAUGGUGGAAAUAGCUUAAGAACAAUAGAUUUUCCUUUUAGGUUAUCCAAAAAUCGAUUUUAACACCUAGCUUAAGAGGAAUUGAGAUUUUUGAAAUUUGGAUUUCACAUGCUUUAUAAAAAUCGAAUUUGGAACAGAAAAAUGGAUGAAUCUGAUUAAGUCUUGUGUGAUUAGUGAUUAGUAUUAGGUAACCUAUAGAUUUGACAUGGAAAUUGCUCAUUAAAACCGAUUUUUAGAAGAUUUCUAUGUUGAGAGCAUCAAAAAUCCGAAUCUAAUCAUGAACUACUCGAUUUCUUUGAUUCAAUGUCAAUUCUGCUUGCUCAUGGUUUUAAUUAAUCUCUUUAUACUAGUAUUGGUAUAACUGAUCGUUAAUGUGUUAAAUCAGCAUCCACAUUCACUCUUUUUCCAAGAAUCAUCUUAUCUUGCAGAAAAAUGGAACAAAGCAGAUCCCGAAGAAGCCGUCGCACUGGUGACAGCUCUGAGGACAUUCCCGAUGAUGCUACUCUAGGAGAGUAUAUGCUGAACCAAGCCAGACCGAGAAGAGGAAACUAUGUGAUGAGAUUGCUCCAGCACUCAAGAGAAACGCGGGCAACUCUCAAGCCACCACAGAUCCGAUACAUUGGCAAGGAGAUAAACCCGAGAGUGGACUAUGCAAGACGUUUCAAGAAGCUGAACAUCAAGCCCACGCCCUGCAUUGAUUAUCAUACACUUGAGAUGCUUGGAAUCAGAGAAGAUGUAAUCUGGUACAUCGAUGCACUUAAGCUGAGACCCUACAUGGAGCUGAACCUUCCAACUUAUCCUGAGCUAGUCCGCGAGUUCUUGGCAGCUAUUACACUCCACCACACUAAGAGGAGGAACCCCAGAGCAUCUGAUGGCAUCUUGUCAUUCUCUAUCCGCGGACAGCCUUACUCACUCACCAUUUCUGCACUUUGUGAAGCUAUUAAGCUUCCAUACACCGAUGGCAUUUACCUUAAAGAUGAACCCGAUUUUAACUUGUGGAGAGAGAUGGGUCAUGGAGUCUAUGAUAGCGGGAGAUCCAAGUCAGCCCACUUUACUCAUCCUGCAGUGAGAGUUGUGCUCAAACUCUUAGCACACACGAUUUUCUCUAGAGCCAACAUGGGAUGUGUUUUGAAGACCGAGCUCAUUAUGCUUCAGAUGCCAUUUAUAGACAACCCACGACUUGCCUGCUUUGCCUGGAUCAUAGCACAAAACAUGGUAAAGGUGAAGCAUGAUUUACAUGGUUACGAGGACGCUACUCCAGCUUACGGGAGUACUACUACAGCGAUACUACAGGCUGUAGGAUUCAAUUUCUCAUCUGAUGAUCCACUUCCCGAUGUCUGGUAUGACCUACUUUAUCUCUCUCGCGAUCACACUAUCUCUCGUGCCGCUUUCGAUGCAGACAGAUUUGGUUACAAGUAUUGCACUAGCACUGAGGAGCACCGAGUCAGCUUGCCUUCGGCAUCAGUCCCGAGAUUGUGUAACGGAGGACGUCCGCGAUGGACUCCGGAACCCGAUGAAUUUCUGCCAUUCACCAUUGGCCAAUACAUAGUGGCCAAGGCAAAGCGUGAUGCAGCUGCGGCCCGAUCUCACUUCAGCCAUCUGUUUCGACCGGCCACACCUCAUCAUCUACAUCAUUGCGCACACAUUCUGAUCUGGAGCGCAGAGUUGAGAGACAGGGACGACGCUUUGAGCGCGUUGUCACCUUCCUACAGGAGCAGCACCAGUUCGCAGCAGACACAUCGGAGGAUGAGUGAUUGAUCAGCACUUCACUGCCAUCACGGUUCUAUCAUCAUUUUUUUUCUUUUAUCUUAUUUUAUUUCUCUUUUAUUCACCAUUUUCUCACCAACUUUUUCACACUGGGGACAGUGUGAUUUAAGUCUGGGGGAGGAUGUCUAUCCGUACUAAUCAUUUUCUUGCUUUUGCUUUCAAUCAUUUUCUUGCUUUUGCUUUCAAAUUUCAAGCAUUUUUUAAAUUUUAAUAUGUAACCUAUUCGACAUUAAGUAUUUUUCAGGAAUGUUUGACACAAAACUAUGAUAAUUUAGACCUGCACGCUUAUACACUAUGCAUGAUAGCUCAUUUGUGGUUAGCACUAGACUAGGCGGUAGCUAGAGUACUUGCACUACGAACUCCCACCAGAGGACUUCUAUUCAUGGAGAUUCUUUCUGACAGGAUAUACUAGCUCAUUUUAUUUGACCUUAAGAUUGACAUCUAAUUUUCUCAUAAUUGAUUUUAGGCAGGCAUCGACAUACACAUCUAGGACUUCUUUUACCCUCACUUUUACCAUUCUUUGUCGUCCUAGAUGACCAGUUUAUCUUUAUCUGGUACCAUACCCUAAACCGAAAACCCUUGUUUUCAAUCCUCAUGCAUUCUCUCUUUAGUUUAUAUCAGCAGAUAUGUGCAAAAACGUCGGAGAGAAGAGGAGCGACGCAGUUUUCAGUCACUCACAAAGAAGACUGAAUGGAAUUGGGAAGGAAGAGUAUCAGAAACCUCAUGAAGCUUUACAAGACAGAUUUUAACUGGUAAUUUCGUGCUCUCUAAGACUUUAUAUCUAAAGGUGUUCCCUCUCUUCAUCAAAAAAAAAAAAAGCCUAAUGAGUCCUAGAUUGUCAAAAUUUGUGGAGCAAGAAGCACCUACUAAGCGUUUAUAGAGCUAUGUUUUUGAAAGAUUUACAAAAAUCUAAGUCUGGGGGAGUUAGGAGAGAACCUGAGGAAGAAGACCAGGAAUCUAUGGCAAGAAGAAAGUGACUGAAACUGUGGAUACCAACAGCUUCACUCUCUCUUGCGGUUUUGCAUAAUAUCUUGCAUCCUCCAGAUCUUCAGGUAACCCAUAAACACUUUAAGCCUUACCCCUAGAAUAACCCUUUUUGACACCUAGCCUAGUUUGCCUUGCCUAGACUUUCUUUGAUGAGAACCACCGAGAUUUUUAAUGAAUGUUAAGAGCUAGUUGACUGGAAGUUAGAUCAUAGUGCAUAGAUUUCCGCAUGACGGAUUAACGGACUAGUUCUGCCUGAUUGCUAGUGAGAAUUUUCUAGGCUAUUCCCGAUUGAUGCAUACUGAUUGAUAUUGGUCUAGAAUUUUGGUCCCUGAGAUUUUGUUUAGUUCCUGCGUUUUCAAACCUCUCGCCGAGAUUUAGUCUUUGUUUUGUUUGAGGACAAACAAAAGACUAAGUCUGGGGGAGUUGAUAACACCGGAUUUUGACCAUGUUUAUGGAUUACUUUAAUAUCUUUUACAGGUGUUUUUACUCCAUUUACAAAGGUUUUCAAAGGAUUUCUAUGUUUUCGGAUUUUAAAAGACUUUUCAGGUAAUUUGGGAUAAAGAGGCACAAAUUGGAACAAAAAGACUCUUUUGGAUAAAUACAGAUUGUCAGAACUCUUAUGGAGAGACGAAGACCUUCUCACCGUCUGAUCACCCUCAAAAUUGGAUAACUUAUAGAAGAAUCAACCAGCUUUCAAAUGCACUUGGUUUGGAGACAUUCCAACGGUUGGAUCUCAAGAUAUUCCAUUAGCCCCGGAGCCACUCGAAGACGGCCAGCAAGUCACGCGACCGCGGUCAACAGCCCAUUCCCCGCGGUCACAAGCCUCCCGACCGCGGCCGGCUAACGCCAAACUAAAGCCCAUAUUUCUGAAGCCCAAAGUCAUUCUCAGCCUCAAUUCCAGAACCCUAGAGACCAUGGAGUAUUGAAGACUAUAAAUACUUGUCAUUUAGGUUGUUUUUAGACACCACCCUUCAUACUUUACAGAAACCCUUUUCCUUUAGCCGUUUUUAUGCGAUUUUUGUAGAAGAUUGUUCAAGUCCGAGUUCUUCAAUAGAGAAGCUUUCUUCAUCUCUUUUCUUUACUGUUUUUGAUUACUUUUAUUAAAACCAAUGAUGAUGUCGAACUCAGCCAUGUCUGAGUAGAUCCCGAGUUGGGCUUAGGGUUCCCGAAAAGGGCUCUCGUAAUCGAUUAAGACAUCUAGGUUUAUAGAUCUGAGAUUUCAACUUUGUUCUCUGUUUAUUCUUGUUAUUAUUGCAUGUAUGCUUGAUUGAUCACCUAGUAUCUGAUCUAGAUAGUUAGUGUUGCGAAAGUUUUCAUUAAGUAUCAGCCCUAGAAUGAAACAGGCGAUUUUUCCGUAGGAGUGGAAACCUACCUGCGGCGAGAUCGUGAGUAUUGACGAGUCUUGUGCAGCUCUUGCGUUCUCUCCCUUCCAGGGCCAGAGUGAAAACUUACUGGUCAGGGUUGCGAGAAACAGUUGGUUAUGAUCACGACAGUGACGUAGUCCUACCGCCGUACUCUAGCUCUAGAACCCUAUAUAUCGAUAUCCGUCAAUCCCAAUCUAUCUACCUUAGUGUUAAAACCGAUUAUGAUCCCUGUAGAGUUCCCAAAAGCUCAGCGUUUUUAGCCAUAGUUUACAAACUAAUCGAUUUUUACUUGCUCAUUUAGAUCCGCAUUUCAAUUGUUUUAGUUCGAUAUUUUGCUUGCUCUACUUGCUUUCUACUCGAUUUUUCUACUUGUUUUCUAGGAUAGAUUUAUUCGCUUUCUUUAAUUUUAGUUUAAUCCGUGAAAAACAACCAACCUCUAAAACCAAUCUAGUCUAGACAUAAAGUUAGAAACCAUAGAAGAAUACCAGGCACACAAAUCUCUGUGGAUUCAAUCCCUAAAUACUACAACUGAUUAGCUGUGCACUUGCGGCUUUCAUUUGUUUUUGUUAAGGGUAAAACUUGUUCCCUCACGCAGUUGACACGCAUCACAAGUGCACAACUGAUCGAUUGUAGUACUUAGGGAUCGAAUACACAGGGAAUGAGGAUAUUUUCUGCAAAAGCCUUUGAAAGAAAUAUAAAGUAAGGAAGUCUAGAAUCAGGCGAUUUUUGUGAGGGUUUUGGUUGUGUCUUUAAAACGUAAAAACUAAUCUUAACAAGGGAAAUACGGGAAUUAAAAUGACCUAAUAAAAAAACUUAACGAAAAUGACUAAAAACGAGAAAAACGGCUAAACCGAAUUGCUUUAAUAAAAAUCGAUCAAAAAAGUAAAGAUACUAGACUAAAGCUUGAAUAAAAAUCUGUGUAAAUCUAGAGGAAAGAAGGCGGUGAGUUUCAGGGAAGUUUUCUCAGGGGUAUGAACGAGUCAAAACAUUGCUAUAGAGUAAAUUUGAUAAGAUCUUACCUUAAAAUUUUCGAACUAGAGUCACAGACGUAUGGAUACGCCACUGUCGUGAUCAUAGACAACUAUCUAUCUCAACCCUGACCAUUAGGUUUCCACUCUGGCCCUGGAAGAGAAAAGAUGCAUUAUGUUUAAGACUCGUCAACAUUUACAAAUCGCUCAUAAGUAGGUUUCCAUUCCUAUGUUUGUUUUGCUCUCCCAAACUAGAUCUGACAGCGGAUGAACACUUUCGUGUCACCAAGCAUCUGGAUCAGAUUGUAGUUCAUGACGCUACUCUCAUGCAGUAAAAAUAAAUUCAGAAGAAAAAGUUCUAAGAUUGGGCUUCAAUAGCUCAUGGAAUCCUCAUCGAACAUAUAUAUCCCCAUCGAAAAUCCCUUAGACCCAACAAUAAAACUACUCAGAAAUGAUGAACAAAAUAAAAAAUAUAGUAUUAAAAAUUAGUAGAACAGAAACCGAAAUUGAAAAAGAAAGAACAAGGGUUCAAGAGAUAGAUCUCUCUCUCCUUAAAACCUAAAAACAAAAGCUUAAAGUAAAAUUCUUCUAAAGUAUUUCGUCUCUCUUCUUCUCUCUUAAAAAACGACCUAAAUGAUAUGUAUUUAUAGUCUCCAAUGCUCUCUGGUCUUUAGGGUUCCGGAAUUGAGGCUGGAAAAAUGAUAUGGUCUUCAGAAAUGGGCCUUCAAACUCGAAGUUGGUUGGCCGAGGUCGGGAUGUGCGUGACUGCAGGGAAUGGAUGGUUGGCUGCGGUCAGGAAGCCUCUGACCGUGGUGAAUUGGCUGUUGGCUGCGGGUGGAAACGCUUGCCGGCUGGUUUACGGGACAUCUUGCUCUUCGUGUAUCUUUUGAUUGAACUGUUGGAUUGCCAAGCUGUAAAGUGUGCUGGAAAGCUGAUACUUCCAUCUUUGAGAUCUCCAAAUUUGAGCUGGAUCAGACGGUGAGAAGGCCUUCAAUCGGGGGUGAACUUCUGACGGUUUGACUAUGAGCUAAAAUCUGGUCUUCUAUCCAUUUUGUUAAGCUUUUCCCUAUGUUUCCUGAAAAGAGUCUUGGAAUUACAAAUACUACAAAACGUAAUAAAAGUACUUGAAAGCAAUUAAAAACAUAGAAAAAAUAUUUCAAAACGAUCUAUAAAAGUGGUCAAAAUACGAUGUUAUCAACUCCCCAGACUUAAACCUUUGUUUGUCCUCAAACAAAGCAAAAAUCGAAACUGGUUAAGUGAAAACAAAAAUAGAAAAUGCACAAAUCUCAGAGACAUGAACUCCUAAACUAGGACCAAAGAUCGUGCAUCAAUCCACAACUUAGUCUAGAAAAUUCUCACCAAGACACAAAAGAUACUAGUCCUCCUUUUCCGUCUUGCAAAACUUAAAUAAUCUAAAUCUUGAUUCCAGUCAACUAGCUCUCUACAUUCAUUAAGUGUAAUAGUGAAUUCUCAUUAAAGACAUCAUCCAGGGUAGAUGGCGUUUGGCAUAAAAUGACUGUUUAAGUGGUGGAGUUAAAGUGUUUUGGGUUACCUGAUGAAUCUGGAGGAUGCAAGAUAAUAUGCAAAACCUGUUGAUGACUUCAAUUUUCAGUCACUUCUUCUUGCCCAAUGUUGUUGCAUAAUCCUUCCUUCUUUGUUGUAAACAGUUAUUCCCCCAGACUUAGAUUCUUUCCGGGAAUCAGCAAAAUGGUCUCCAAAACUCCAUAAAAUCGAACUCCAGUUGCCUUGGGACUUACAAUUCGACAUCUCUAGACUCUCUAAGGCUUUUAUCUCAUUUCUUUUCCUAUUUUCGGAUCCUUUUUUUUGGAAAGGGAAUGCCUUUUAAAGAGAGAGAGACUAGAGGACGAGAUUGGCCAAAAUUUGAGAUUUUUCUAAGGAAAACUGAGUUUUCUCAUGUGUUGAAUCCUUCCGGGAACUUUUCUGGCAAAUCGCAGGUCUCUGUCUUUGGUGACUGAAAACUGAGUCGUUAUUCUUUCUCUCCAACGUUGUUACACAUAUCUGCAUAUAAGAUAAUAGAAAACAAGAGUGCAUGUCUUUUGAAAGAGGAUUGGUUAAGGUGGGGAACUAGCUAAAGAUGAACUAGCCAUUCAGGAUCAACAGAGAGUGGUAAAAAGGGUAAAGGAGUCCUGAAUGUAUGAUUCGUUUCCCUGUCUAAUGCUUCAAUGAGAGAAUUAAUUCCAAGUUAAGUCCGAAUAAAACAGAGCUAGUAUAUUCCUUCAUCUAAAUCGAAAUCAUUCAAAUUCCUCUGGGGUACUUCAUUUCAGAUGUGCUUAGAUACUGCCUAGUUUAGUCCUAAAUCAUGAAUGAGCAUGUCACUAGGAACAGUCUAAAAGCACACAGUCAACUAUCAUUGAUUCAUGCUCACCAUUCCCUUUAAAACGUAUUUUUUUUUUGAAAAUUGAUUUUGAAAAACUUUAAGGAAAAUGCAAAAACUGUAGAUAAUAUAAGACUCAUGAAAGAAAAGUGGUUAGAAACGGAUGAAAUCCUCCCCCACACUUAAAUCACACUGUCCUCAUUGUGAAACAAGUCAAGAUUGGAUGAGAAAAAUGUAUAGAUAAUCGAAUUUGGUAAGGCCAAAGAGAACUUACCUGGAUCCGGGAUGCUGGUGGAGAUGGACCGGAUCCAUUCGAAGAGGUUUGGGAAGGUGAUAGGUGGUCAUGGAAGGUGGUGGGAAGUGAUAAAUGAGGUGGAGUGGGGCUUGGUGAGGUGGAAUGAGGUGAAGUGGGUGGUUUGGGUUGGGGUAUCAUCUGAACGACCAUUUUCCGCGGUAAGGAGUCACGCGCCCGCGGCAAACCGGUGCUCGGCCGCGGUCAGAAAAACGCGGCCGCGGUCGAAGAGGUGUUUCCCACAGUCAGAACGCCUGCGACUGCGGGGGCUUAAAUGCGGCCUGUUUCCUGCUUCUCCUUGGUUCAUGCAUGGCCGAGCAGUCAGGGACCAUCCUUCUUUUUGGUUUUUUUCGGUUUUUUGAUUUUUUUUGGCUUUUUUGUUUUAUAAGAAACACCUGAAACUAAGAGAAUGAGAAAGAUCAAUAGAAAAAGAAAGAAAAAUCCUAAAGAAAACAAUACCUAAAUGGGUUGCCUCCCAUUAAGUGCUUUUGUUUUAAGUCGUUUAGCUCGACUUUGGUGUAGGACGUGGCUUAGUCCAACGAAGAAGAUCUUGUCCUGAGACAAGUCUUUUUCGACAUCUCCUUGCUUUGCCUAGCAGGUUCUUCGUCACUCCAAAGUUCUUCUUCAAACUCUUCUGUUGCAGAACGUUUUCCUGCUUUUCUGUUGUAUGGGAUAGCUUCUGUGAAGACAUCUUUGUCGAUAUUAGCAAAUGAAAUCCUCCGGUUUGGCCAGUCCAUUAUAGCUCCGGAAGUUGCUAGAAAAGACCAUCCAAGGAUCAGUGGAUGUGUUGCUUUUCUUGUUUCGACAAUGUAGAAAUCGACAGGAACGAUGCAAUCUCCUAUUCUCAGAGGAAUGUCAUGAGCUAUUCCUUGAGGUGUUGCAUUGGAAUCAUCAGCUAGACUAAUCUUUGAUCUAGUCCUGCGUAGGUGUUUAGUACCAAGUCUCAAAGCAAUUGCCUUGGACAUCAUGUUAAGACAGGCUCCAGAAUCACAAAGUACGUUUUUAAACAUUUCACCUCUAAUAGAACAAGAGAUGAGAAACUGACCUGCACCUUUGAUUUUGUGAAGUGUUCGAACAGGUUUACCUCUUCUAGCAUGAUUGAACAAGUCUUCUAUUUCAGGGAUUGAUUCCUUGCUCACACAGAAGUAGUGGCCUAUCAUGAAGUCCUUGCAAGCUCUGGCAAAGGUGAUUCCUUCAGGUAAAUUUCGAACCACUUCAUUGAACUCAUUGAGCUUCUCUUUGCUAAUUUUGUUGGUGUAGUGGCUACAUUCUUCAGGUUUUUGAAAGUGGAUCGCAUAGACAGCUGCUUCUGGUGAUGUCAUGUAUCGAGCUCGCAUAAAGUAUCUAUGUAUAUCCUCUUUAGACUCCUUGCAGUACCUGAAAAAUACUUGCAAACGACCAAGCUUCCAGAUUUCAACAAAGCUUAGGUGAGCAGGGAAUAUCCUGGCCAUAUUGUUAAACUCUAUGAGCUUCUCCCUACUGAUGUUGUUGGUGAUCCAUUGAAUUUUCCCCGUACUGUCUUCUGAGGAAUAUUUUGCGUUUGGAUCUUCUACAAACAAUCCAUACUCUUCAUCUUCAGAGUAUUGUUCUUCAUACUCAUCUUCACAAGACAAGGCCAUGUUGCAGGACAAUGGCUUGUCUUCGUCUUCAGAUCCUUGGGUGCUGAUGGAGCAAACUAGUUGUUGAUGGAGGGGUAUAGUCAUUCCAGGAGGUGUAUCAGAUGCACAACUGCUUGUAUGAGCUGAACGAGGCUGUUUUGGAACGUUUUUUCGGUUGGCCUUGACUGUAGGAGACGCAACCGCGGGAAAUCGUCCAUGGGCCGCGGGUAGACCGAGCACGACCGCGGAAAAAGGCUUCUUGGGCACGGUCACAGGUGACGCGACCGCGGGAAAGUGUCUCCGAGUUAAUUGUCUGAUGUUGCUUGCUCCUUUGCUUCCUGGAUGAUCUCCUGGGUCUUCUGUCUUGGUGUACUUCCUCUCUGGACUUAAGUCUUUAGUUUUGGCUGCUGGAAUCUGCUCUCCAAGUCCUUGUAUGAUCUCCUCAACUUUUUCUUCAACUUCAUCAAGAGCAUAGACCACUUUGUCCAUGGUUGAGUCAAGCUCUUCGGUUUUGUCAAUGACUUUGUAUAAUUUUUCUGAAACGUCGACUGUGAAGUUGUAAGACUCGUUCUUAGCUUCGUUGAGGGCUUUGUCCACGUCAUCGAGUUUGAAAUCCAGGUCCAUGACUUUGUUUUUAGUGUUGCGAAGCUCGUAGGUGUGCUUUGCUUGCUCUUCCUCUAUGCUGUCGAACCUGUUAGCGAUCAUGGCUGCGUCUUUGGUUGCUCGUUCUUCUAUUGAUUUGACUUGUGAAGCUUCGUUAUCGAUCUUCUCAUUGAAAAGUUUUGAUAUUCCAUCAAUCCUUUUGUUUAGAGCAGCUGUAAUAACUGCUUGAUUACGGCUUCAAGCUAACUCAAUCGAUUACUGAGCUGGACGUUCUCAUCUUGCUGGAGAACCUGGUGAGGUAGGCGAUGCAUAGGUGGUCUAGGGUUUACCAUUGGAAGCAUGUAGGACUCGUUCAGGAACGUUUGGUAGUUUGAGGUUCAAACUUCAUCAUAGAGAUCGCGUAGGUAUUGCUCUUCUCUGCGUCGGGUGGCUUAAGGAGUGUUGUAAAAACCUCCCUCAUAGUAGGGAUUUCGAUUUAUAGGAUCCAUUGCUUCGAGAAUGGAAACAAAAGAACCGAAAAUGUCGAUUUACCAACAUUUCUUAGGGUUUUACGGAAAAGAAAACGCGUGCCUUCCCCGGAAACGGCGCCAAAAACUUGAUGUGGUAUGUGUCGAGGGUUGUCAAGUUUUACCCUAAAUGAAAUCAAUACCUGCAAGUGCACAGCUGAUCGAUUGUAGUACUUAGGGAUCGAAUCCAUAGGGAAGGAGGAUCUUUCCUGCAAAAGCCUUCGAAAGAAAUAAAAAGUAAGGAAGUCUAAAACCAGGCGAUUUUUGUGAGGGUUUUGGUGGUGUCUUUAAAACGUAAAAAGUAAUCUUAACGAGAAAAUACGGGAAUUCAAAUGAUCUAAUAACUAAACUUACCGAAAACGACUUAAAACGAGAAAAACGGCUAAACCUAAUUGCUUUAAUAAAAUUCGAUUAAAAAAGAGUAAAGAUACUAGACUAAAGCUGGAAUAAAAAUCGGUGUAAAUCUAUAGCUGGGUUUCAGGGAAGUUUUCUCAGGGGUAUGAACGAUUCAAAACAUUGUUAGAGUAAAUUUGAUAAGAUCUUAGCUUAAACUUUUCGAACUAGAGUCACAGACGUAUGAAUACGCCACUAUCGUGAUCAUAGACAAUUAUCUCUCUCGACCCUGACCAGUAGGUUUCCACUCUGGCCCUGGAAGAGAAAAAAUAUGCAUUAUGUUUAAGAUUCGUCAGCAUUCACAAAUCGCUCAUAGGUAGGUUUCCACUCCUAUGUUUGUUUUGCUCUCCCAAACUAGAUCUGACACCGGAUGAACACUUUUGUGUCACCAAGCACCUGGAUCAGAUUGUAGUUUAUGACGCUACUCUCAUGCAGUAAAAAUAAAUUCAGAAGAAAAAGUUCUAAGAUUCGGCUUCAAUAGCUCAUGGAAUCCUCAUCGAACAUAUAUAUCCCCAUCGAAAAUCCCUUAGACCCAACAAUAAAACUACUCAGACAUGAUGAAAAAAAUAAAAAACAUAGUAUUAAAAAUUAUUAGAACAGAAACCGAAAUUGAAAAAGAAAGAACAAGGGUUCAAGAGAUUGAUCUCUCUCUCCCUAAAACCUAAAAACAAAAGUUUAAAGUAAAAUUCUUCUAAAGUAUUUCGUCUCUCUUCUUCUCUCUUAAAAAACGACCUAAAUGAUAUGUAUUUAUAGUCUCCAAUGCUCUCUGGUAUUUAAGGUUCCAGAAUUGAGGCUGAGAAAAUGAUAUGGGCUUCAGAAAUGGGCCUUCGACCGCGGGAAAAUGAAUGGUUGGCUGUGGUCGGGAAGCCUCUGACCGUGAUGAAUUGGCUGUUGGCCGCGGGUGGAAACGCUUGCCGGCUGGUUUAUGGGACAUCUUGCUCUUCGCGUAUCUUUUGAUUAAACCGUUGGAUUGCCAAGCUGUAAAGUGUGCUAGAAAGCUGAUACUUCCAUCUUUGACAUCUCCAAAUUUGAGCUGGAUCAGACGGUGAGAAGGUGAUAACUAAGGUUUUCAAGGCCUUAAUAAGGGUUAUCAACCCCCUUGUCAAAGUAGUAUAAGGGGUGUCAAUCCAUAUGUGUGGUAGUUAGGCACUAGUUUAUAAGACAAGUUCUUAAGUCAAGCUGACUAAAAGAUGACUUUGGUGAAACCAACAACAAGAAAGCAUAAAACAAGAAACAAACAAGCUAUGAUUAAUGAACUAAGCAAGCAAACAAAACAAGAUGAUGGUGAUUAAGCAAAUGAUAAAAGUUAAACCUCUAGAUGUGAUCAUUGAUUAGAGUGCUUUAGAUAUCAAUUCAUGAUGCUAAGAACAUAAUGCAACACUUACUACUCUUUAGUCUAGGCUUCUUAAUCAGAUUAAUUCAUUCCCAUGACAAUAAUCCCUUUGUUAAUCACUUAAUCAAGUCUAACAACCAUUAGAUAUAAUCAAGCAAUCAACAAGCAUAAUGCAUCAAGCCUAAUAAGUGACCUAACAAUCUCUAAACCAAGAAGACUGAAUCUUACACAGAAAGACACAGCAAGCAAUCACAUGAUCUCAAAUAUUUCAACUUAGAACUCUAAUCUAGACUAAUCCUCUCAUGAAGGCAUUAAUCUCUACACUAAUCCACUUUUAAACCAAAUUCCCAUUUGUGAAAUAUGAACUAAUGAGCAUUAAGAAACAGUUCUAAUAUGUCAUUUAUGCAAUUAACAAACAUUCCCAUGGCAUUAAUGCAUAAAUCCUUAGUUAGCUUUCAUUCAGGCAUUUCAUCAAACACUUUUGGUGCAUGAAAUGCCUAUGAACCCAGAUUUCAUUUUCCCAAGGAAAUCUGGCAUUAGGAGCAGCUAACUAAAGGAAAUGAAAUGAGAAUCUAGACCCUAAACAUCACAAAUCAAACAUCUAAGCACCCUAAUCUACACACCUAGAAGUUUAAAAGAUGACUACUCACUAAUCAUGAAGAACACAUCUAAUCUUUUGCAAGAGAUGAUGUUAAUCAUGAUUAGAAAGCAGAAAUGAGAUGAUGAGAUGAUAGGAAACAGACUUGGAAUGAUCAAAUCCUUCAGAUAUCUCUUAAUCAAAAACGUUUUUACACUAAAAAGGAAAGAAAACUAGAGAGAAACUAAGAGAGAAGAUAAGAUCCCUAGGGUUUUUUCUCCAAAAAGCUAUAUAUACUACGUGCUAAUGAACCGGGUCGGCCCUGAACAAACCGGGUCCUGACCCGGCUUUAGUGGGUAAACUGGAAAUCCUGCGGGUUGGUCCAGUGUCUCCCAGGUAGCAUGCCCAAGUCGCAGUAGAUGGAGAACUUGUCUUGUGAGACUUAAAUCGCUUUGUCUUAGCCGCACGCCCAAGUAGGAGUGUUUUGCGAGUCUUGCUGCGGCUUAAUCUUCUUCUUCUUCAACUCGCAGGACCAAGGCGGUUUCUGGGGAAUGUAAAAACCGUGCGGGUUGGUCUCCUUGCUCCCAGCCAGCACACCCAAGUCGGAGUAGAUUGCUAGUGAUCAUGCGGCUUGGUUCCAGCGUCUCCCAGGUAGCAUGCCCAAGUCGCAGUAUUGUGGACUUAGCAAUUUUCUUGCUCGGGAGCCUCAGACCUCAUCCAUUGAUAGCUUACCCGCACUUCUCAACUUGCAGCAUCAAUUUCCAGGCAUUCGUCUUCAGGCCUGCGAGUUAACCAAGUCGCAAGGCUUUCUCGCAGCAUUCAGAGCAGCUUGGACCACUUCGCAUUCCGGAGAGUGUAACUUCUGAGAUACCUGUCCGAAUUGAGUGCUUCAUGUUGCAGAGGACACUGGACUCAUAUAUCUCCAACUUUGGUGAAGGAAGCUUCGGUGCUUGGGAAGUGGAAUGCUUCCUGGAGGGCUCAUCUUUGAAGUGCAUUUACACGAUCAGAGAGAGGCGUCUAGACAUGUGUCCGUUCCGGUGACCGUAUCGUCCUGCUCAUAGCUCCGAAUUGAAUACUAUUGGACGUUCUGGAAAGAGGACUCAUAUUUCUCUGAUUCUCAUGAAGGCCCCGAAAACUGAAUCGGCCUGGAAGUGCACCGUCCUUCGCAUUCUUCGGAGCUCAUCGGUUUGGUCCAAAACGGCAGCGAGACAGGAGUUUCUUCCGCCGAGCUUAACUUUCUGCUCACGCGUCCGAAUUGAGUGAUUCCACUUGCUAUGGAACCGUGAUCUAAUCCUCUCAAAGUUUAAUGAAUCCCCCGACAGUUGAAUCGGACGGGAAGGUUCCCCGGACAGGCGAUCAUUCAGGAGUAUCGGAUUGCUCCAGAAUGGAUGCGAGAGAGGUCUGUCUUCCGGUGACCGUAUCUUUCAGCUCAGUGCUCCAAACGACUUUAUUCAACCUGUCCUGGGUUCUUGAAUCAAUUAUCUCCAACAUCUCUGAAGACCCUGUAAGCUGAAUCGGCCGGAAAGAUCUUCCGGUGACGUGAUUUCAGAAAUGUAUCUGCACCCGGGAUUUUUGGCCGAGAGACUUGACCGUGGUACGUGUUUUUGGACGAGAAAGCUACCCGCGGGAAGGAUUUUGGCCGAGAAUCUUCGGCCAUCAGUACAUCAUUUUGCCGAGAAACCAAAAAUUGCUCCUUUUCACCAUUUUUGAUAAGUUCAACUCCAUUUCUUCAUCUGAAUCACAUCCUCCACUCCAAAUAAACUCCAAAAGCACAUGUUUAACACUCCAAAACAUGCAAAACUCUUUUGGACCUAAUGCAAUCUCCUAAGUCCUAAAACAAUGCCUAAAGACCUAAAAUGCAUGUAAAUGAGACAUGAUUUGGACUAGAAUAUGUACAUUAAAUGAUGCAAUUUAUGAAUAUAUCAACUCCCCCACACUCAUCCUUUCUUGUCCUCAAGCAAAAAGAACAAAUGAGAGAGAGAGGUUGAAUGCAUUGGGAGCUCAUUUUUCCUUUGAAAGAGAAAAGUGACCACUAAGAGAAUUCAAGUUCAUGCUCAAUAUGCAAUGCAAGACCAUACUCUGAUGUAUCAACUCAACAGUAAUCUCCACAAGUUCUCUUAUUCCUCAACUCUUUGACAUUCAUUAAGCUCUUUACCAAGUGGAUCAAAUGAUGCAAUGUUCAAACAAGCAAAGUUUGGCUAGGGUGAGGUAAUGAGACUAAAAUGGUCUCAUCAGCGCCUGAGUGGGUUCAAUGCAGCAAGGGGAUCUCUCUAAGAAUGAUCAAACGUUGGCAGAAUGCUAAAGGUAAAAAGCAACUUAUGCAUACAAGGGCAAGGACUCAUCCCACCCCACACUCUACUCAAAGCUUUCUCACUUGCUCAACCUCUCAAGAACCUCACUUUCCACACUCAUUUUCCUCUCACUAGGGGACUCACUCAUCAUUUUCACACUCAAGUCUUGGAGUUCAAACUUUACAUAGCUCCUUUUCACUUUCUUUUGUAACUUCUAGCCUUUUUUUCUUUCUUUUUAAAACAUUUGAGCUCUUGGGCUUCUUUUCUUUUCUUUUCACUUAGAGGCUAGACUUUUUCUUUUCAAAACACUAGAGCUCACUUUCUUUGACUCAAAACUCCAAGACUGAUUUCUUUUCUUUUUCUAUCCCCUAGUUCUCACCAUUCUCCUUUUAUUUCCACUCAUCUCUCCUUUCCACUCACCAACAAGUAUUCCCCCACACUUAGUUCUCAGCAAAUCUCUCAGCUCCUUGAUGAUGGAACUUAACACUCAAUGAGACUUGCCCUUGUCGCUCUAAACCUAACACUUUCUGCUAAGUUUUAUCCAUGGUGGCCUUUCAAUCACACACAAACAUUUGGCUUGAAAGAAGGAUGGGUUCAGGGUGAGGAAAACUGAUCCAGAUGUGGACUCAGCUAUUUGAGCUAAGGAAGAGGGUGGUAAAAACAGGAUUCUAGCUCAAAUAUGUAUAUAGGUAUCCACAAGCUUAUUUAAACAAUGCAUCACAAGAUAAUUUCAAGUCAAGUUCAAGGUUUUCACUUAUUAGAGUUGAGUUCAAUUCAAACUUGCUUCUCAGAUUCUAAUCAUUUCAAGCCUUGCAAGCAAAGAUGUCAUUUCACAAGCAUAUUUAAUCCAAAUUCUCAAAGUGAUGUACUCUCAAGGAAAGAACCUAUCAUUACUCCCAGCAAGAUGCAACCUAUAUGAAAAUGCAAACUAGACUCAACCUAAAAUGUGAAUGCAACUACAUGAGCAUUUUUUGUGAAAAUUUUUCAGAUUUUUCCAUUUUUUUGGUUUUUAUAUGAACUUAGAUGAAUGCAAAAUGAGACUCAAAGUGAAAAGGAAAAUAAGAGAAGAAUAAACAUGAUUAGUAAACACAAAACCCCUCCCCCACACUUAGAUAACACAGUCCCUUGUGUUAUAAAAGCAUGAGAAAGAGGAAAAAUCAAACAUGAAAUGCAAAAGAUAAAGAAAAAUGCUAAAUGCUCAUUUACAAGUGUUUUGAGUGAUACCUGGUGUGGUUCUUGUGCAAAAGGGGAGUGAGUAUCUGCACCAGAUGAGGCCAGACACACUUGGAGAUGGAUUUGGCUUGGCCUGAACUCCCUUGUGCGGCAUGGACUUGUCUUGGACCAACUCGCAGACUUUGGGACAUAGAUACCUCGGCCUUUCUUCCCAUGCAUAGAACGCCUAACUCGGAGUAAUUUGCGAUUCUUCAUGCGGGUUAGCUUCCUUGGGUUUCAGGCAACGGCGCCAAUUGAUAACUAAGGUUUUCAAGGCCGUAAUAAGGGUUAUCAAUCCCCUUGUCAAAGUAGUAUAAGGGGUGUCAAUCCAUAUGUGUGGUAGUUAGGCACUAGUUUAUAAGACAAGUUCUUAAGUCAAGCUGAAUAAAAGAUGAGUUUGGUGAAACCAGCAACAAGAAAGCAUAAAACAAGAAACAAACAAGCUAUGAUUAAUGAACUAAGCAAGCAAACAAAACAAGAUGAUGGUGAUUAAGCAAAUUAUAAAAGUUAAACCUCUAGAUGUGAUCAUUGAUUAGGGUGCUUUAGAUAUCAAUUCAUGAUGCUAAGAACAUAAUGCAACACUUACUACUCUUUAGUCUAGGCUUCUUAAUCAGAUUAAUUCAUUCCCAUGACAAUAAUCCCUUUGCUAAUCACUUAAUCAAGUCUAACAACCAUUAGAUAUAAUCACGCAAUCAACAAGCAAUUCCCAAGGAAAUUUGGCAUUAGGAGCAGCUAACUAAGGAAAUGAAAUGAGAAUCUAGACCCUAAACAUCACAAAUCAAACAUCUAAGCACCCUAAUCUACACACCUAGAAGUUUAAAAGAUGACUACUCACUAAUCAUGAAGAACACAUCUAAUCUUUUGCAAGAGAUGAUGUUAAUCAUGAUUAGAAAGCAGAAAUGAGAUGAUGAGAUGAUAGGAAACAGACUUGGAAUGAUCAAAUCCUUCAGAUAUCUCUUAAUCAAAAACGUUUUUACACUAAAAAGGAAAGAAAACUAGAGAGAAACUAAGAGAGAAGAUAAGAUCCCUAGGGUUUUUUCUCCAAAAAGCUAUAUAUACUAAGUGCUAAUGAACUGGGUCGGCCCGGAACAAACCGGGUCCUGACCCGGCUUUAGUGGGUAAACUGGAAAUCCUGCGGGUUGGUCCAGUGUCUCCCAGGUAGCAUGCCCAAGUCGCAGUAGAUGAAGAACUUGUCUUGUGAGACUUAAAUCGCUUUGUCUUAGCCGCACGCCCAAGUAGGAGUGUUUUGCGAGUCUUGCUGCGGCUUAAUCUUCUUCUUCUUCAACUCGCAGGACCAAGGCGGUUUCUGGGGAAUGUAAAAACCGUGCGGGUUGGUCUCCUUGCUCCCAUUCAGCACGCCCAAGUCGGAGUAGAUUGCUAGUGAUCAUGCGGCUUGGUUCCAGCGUCUCCCAGGUAGCAUGCCCAAGUCGCAGUAUUGUGGACUUAGCAAUUUUCUUGCUCGGGAGCCUCAGACCUCAUCCAUUGAUAGCUUACCCGCACUUCUCAACUUGCAGCAUCAAUUUCCAGGCAUUCGUCUUCAGGCCUGCGAGUUAACCAAGUCGCAAGGCUUUCUCGCAGCAUUCAGAGCAGCUUGGACCACUUCGCAUUCCGGAGAGUAACUUCUGAGAUACCUGUCCGAAUUGAGUGAUUCCGGUUGCAGAGGACAGUGGACUCAUAUAUCUCCAACUUUGGUGAAGGAAGCUUCGGUGCUUGGGAAGUGGAAUGCUUCCUGGAGGGCUCAUCUUUGAAGUGCAUUUACACGAUCAGAGAGAGGCGUCUAGACAUGUGUCCAUUCCGGAGACCGUAUCGUCCUGCUCAUAGCUCCGAAUUGAAUACUAUUGGACGUUCUGGAAAGAGGACUCAUAUUUCUCUGAUUCUCAUGAAGGUCCCGAAAACUGAAUCGGCCUGGAAGUGCACCGUCCUUCGCAUUCUUCGGAGCUCAUCGGUUUGGUCCAAAACGGCAGCGAGACAGGAGUUUCUUCCGCCGAGCUUAACGUUCUGCUCACGCGUCCGAAUUGAGUGAUUCCACUUGCUAUGGAACCGUGAUCAAAUCCUUUCAAACUUUGAUGAAUCCCCCGACAACUGAAUCGGACCGGAAGGUUCCCCGGACAGGCGAUCAUUCAGGAGUAUCGGAUUGCUCCGGAAUGGAUGCGAGAGAGGUCUGUCUUCCGGUGACCGUAUCUUUCAGUUCAGUGCUCCAAAUGCCUUUAUUCAACCUCUCAUGGGUUCUUGACUCAAUUAUCUCCAACAUAUCUGAAGACCCUGUAAGCUGAAUCGGCCAGCAAGAGCUUCCGGUGACGCGAUUUCAAAAAUGUAUCUGCACCCGGGAUUUUUGGCCGAGAGACUUGACCGCGGUACGUGUUUUUGGCCGAGAAAGCUACCCGCGGGAAGGAUUUUGGCCGAGAAUCUUCGGCCAUCAGUACAUCAUUUUGCCGAGAAACCCAAAAUUGCUCCUUUUCACCAUUUUUGAUAAGUUCAACUCCAUUUCUUCAUCUGAAUCACAUCCUCCACUCCAAAUAAACUCCAAAAGCACCUGUUUAACACUCCAAAACAUGCAAAACUCUCUUGGACCAAAUGCAAUCUCCUAAGUCCUAAAACAAUGCCUAAAGACCUAAAAUGCAUGUAAAUGAGACAUGAUUUGGACUAGAAUAUGUACAUUAAAUUAUGCAAUUUAUGAAUAUAUCAGAAGGCCUUCAAUCGGGGGUGAAGUUCUGACGGUUUGACUCUGAGCUAAAAAUCUGGUAUUCUAUCCAUUUUGUUAAGCUUUUCCCUAAGUUUCCUGAAAAAAGUCUUGGAACUACAAAUACUAGAAAAAUGUAAUAAAAGUACUUGAAAGCAAUUAAAAACAUAGAAAAAGUAUUUCAAAAUGAUCCAUAAAAGUGGUCAAAAUACGGUGUUAUUAGCAAACAGGGAAGCUCUGAUCCACGACAUAUAAAAGGGCUUCACCUACCUCAUCGUCAAAUCUGAUGCUCGAGAGCUCAUCCGAGCAAUAACCUCACAGAAGCAAAUCAAAGAGAUCAUUGGAAUCCUCUUCGAUGUGAACGCUCUCGCAAAUCUAUUUUCCUCCAUUUCCUUUGUUUUUGUUUGUAGAUCUGAGAAUUAGAGAGCUGACUCUCUAGCCAAAAUCGCUCUAUCAUAGCUUAGUUAUGAUCGCCUUUAAUGUAUGACCGGUUUUAAUUUAAUGAAAUAGACGUUCAAAAAAAAAGAUAGAAAGUUUGUGAAAUUAAUGAAUUUUAGUAUGUUUUUGCAUAGCCCAUAAAUAUAUGACCGGAACCAAAUACCUCAAGGCUCAAAAAGGCUUACGCACAAGGGGGGGGGGGGGGGGGACCGGGGUGAUAUGUUAGUGAAGGUGGAAGCUGAUAACACCGGAUUUUGACCAUUUUUAUGGGUCAUUUUAAUAUCUUUUACAGGUGUUUUUUACUCCAUUUUCAAAGGUUUUCAAAGGAUUUCUAUGUUUCCGGGUUUUAAAAGACUUUUCAGGUAAUUUGGGAUAAAGAGGCACAAAAUGGAACAAAAAGACUCUUUUGGAUAAAUCCAGACCGUCAGAACUCUCAUGGAGAGACGAAGACCUUCUCACCGUCUGAUCACCCUCAAAAUUGGACAGCUUAUAGAAGAAUCAACCAGCUUUCAAUUGCACUUGGUUUGGAGACAUUCCAACGGUUGGAUCUCAAGAUAUUUCAUUAGCCCCGGAGCCACUCGAAGUCGGCCAGCAGCUCACGCGACCGCGGCCAACAAGCUAAUUGCCGCGGUCAGAAGCUUCCUGACUGCGGCAAUCAACCUCCGACUUAAAGCCCACUUAUCUGAAGCCCAAAGUCAUUCCCAGCCUCAAUUCCGGAACCCUAGAGACCAUGGAGUAUUGGAGACUAUAAAUACAUGUCAUUUAGGUCGUUUUUAGAAAAAGCCCUUCAUACUUUACAGAAACCCUUUUUCUUUAGCCGUUUUUAUGAGAUUUUUGUAGAAGAUUGUUCAAGUCCGAGUUCUUCAAUAGAGAAGCUUUCUUUAUCUCUUUUAUUUACUGUUUUUCAUUACUUUUAUUAAAACCAAUGAUGAUGUCGAACUCAGCCAUGUCUGAGUAGAUCCCGAGUUGGGCUUAGGGUCCCCGAAAGGGGCUUUCAUAAUCGAUUAGGACAUCUAGGUUUAUAGAUCUGGGAUUUCGACCUGUUCUCUGUUUAUUCUUGUUCUUAUUGCAUGUAUGCUUGAUUGAUCACCUAGUAUCUGAUCUAGAUAGUUAGUGUUGCGAAAGUUUUCAUUAAGUAUCAGCCCUAGAAUGAAACAGGCAAUUUUUCCGUAGGAGUGGAAACCUACCUGCGGCGAGAUCGUGAGUAUUGACGAGUCUUGUGCAGCUCUUGCGUUCUCUCCCUUCCAGGGCCCAGAGUGGAAACGUACUGGACAGGGUUGCGAGAAACAGUUGGUUUAUGAUCACGACGGUGACGUAGUCAUACCGCCAUACUCUAGCUCUAUAACCCAUAUAUUGUUAUCUGUCAAUCACAAUCUAUCUACCUUAGUGUUAAAACCGAUUAUGAUCCCUUAGAGUUCCCAAAAGCUCAGCGUUUUUAGCCAUAGUUUACAAUUCCAUCGAUUUUUACUUGCUUUCUUAGACCUGCAUUUCAAUUUCCUUAGUUCGUUAUUUACUUGCUUUAUUUACCUUUCAUGUGAUAUUUUACUAGCCUUAUUUUCGUUUAGUUCGAUAUUUUACUUAUUCCAUUUGCAUUUCAUUCGAUUUUCUUUACUUGCUUUUUAGGAUAGAUUUAUUUGCUUUCUUUUGUUUUAGUUUAAUUCGCAAGAAAAACAACCAACCUUUAAAACCAAUUUAGUCUAGACAUAAAGUUAAAAACCGUAGAAGAAUACCAGGCACAAAAAUCUCUGUGGAUUCGAUCUCUAAAUACUACAACUGAUUAGCUGUGCACUUGCGGCUUUCAUUUGUUUUGUUAAGGGUAAAACUUGUUCCCUCACGUAGUUGACACGAGCACGCAUCAAGUUUUUUUGGCGCCGUUGCCGGGGAUUUGUUUCGCUGCCUUUUGCUAUUUUUCUUGUUUUAACUUCUGUUCUAGACACCUGAUCUCUAGUUCUUUUUUAAAAGUUUUUCUGAACUAUCUUUCCCUUCUUUUGUCUUUCUCUGAAUUGCAUGAAUACCAGGCGUAGACCUGCAGGAGACAUUCCAAUUCUAGACGAGAUAGACAGACACGAAAGAGAACUUCGAAGACUUAGACGAACGCAAGGAAUAGCCAACGACGACCAGCCUGGGGAUCCUAUUAAUCGAAAUUUAAAUAUGGACCAAGACGGGUCCGAACAUGGAGAAAACGAAGAGAAUGAUCACAUAGAAGGUGAUCAUGCUCGACAAGAUGGAGAGGAGGAUGAGGUUCUUCCAAGAAACCACCAGAACCGAGAGAGAGAAGGACGUGAAGACCUUGAUCCACCUAUCAAUGUAGCCGAUGGUGACCACCCAGCAAUGCAGCCGAAUGAACGCGUUCACCGCCCCAUUCCGCCAGCAAAUCAACACCGAAGACAAGCCAGGAACCAUCGCAUAGCUGAUUUUGAUGCAUCUACUCAAAAUUUUCAGAAUCGAUCUGUGAUUCAAGUACCAUUUCCAAACCGGAAUGAGUUUGAAGUCAAGCCUCAAAUCAUCUCAUUAGUGAAGCAAAACCAGUUCCAUGGAGUUCCUUCUGAGCACCCAAUGGACCAUAUCGAGCUUUUUGAAGAAAUUUGCAGCAUGAUGAGAACAAACCAAGUUCCACCUGACUAUUUAAAGUGUAAGUUGUUCCCUUUUUCAUUAGCAGAUAAAGCUUACCGUUGGUUGAAGUCUUUGCCUGCAGGAUCGAUUACUAAUUGGGAAGAAUGUAGAACUGCUUUCCUGAACCACUUCUACACUAAGUCAAGGUCGAACAAUGUGAGAACGAAGAUCUCAACCUUUCAACAAGGGCCAACUGAAUCUUUCUAUGAAGCUUGGGAACGUUUUAAGGAGUAUGAACGUGAUUGCCCUCAUCAUGGAUCUCAUGGAUCAAGCCUGCUGAGCACAUUUUACCGAGGUUUGCUACCAAAAUACAAACUUUCACUUGAUACAGCUAGCAAUGGAGAUUUUGGGCAAAAGACGAUAACCCAAGGAAGAGCUCUCAUCGAAAAUUUGGCUCAAGCCAAUAGCAAUGACUGUCCUGAAUACGAUCGAUCGAUGAAGCAAGCCGGAACAGACAACAAGGAGAUAACCGAGUUGAAGAACAUGGUGAGCCAGCUUCUGAAGAGCAACAAUCGCCCGAUCCAUGCCUGUGAAACCAACGAUGGCGCAGAAGAGGAAGGACCUAGUGGUAUCGAUCACAUUAAUCAAGCAUUUCAAGAAGAAGAUGUGAACUACGUAGGAGCACUGGUGCCAUACCAAAAUCGCUCCAACAACAACUUCAACAACAACUUACGGAAUGCAAAUUACAACAAUUUCUCUUACCGCAAUCCAAAUGUGGAGAACCCUCAAGAUCAGUACUACCCACCUCAGCAAAAAUCAUUCCAAAACAAGUUUCAAGGUGGAAACUUUGGAGGAAUAGUACCAUAUCAACCGCGACAGCCAUAUAACUACCAAGGUACGGGUUUUAACAAUCAAUUUGUACAACAGCAGGGAGUCACGACGAACCAGCUAGCUUCACAAAUCGGUAGACUUGAACAGUCAAUCCAACAGCUCGUUAUGACGAACGAAAAAAGCAUCUAAAGACGUGAACGUGAAAGUGGACUGCAUGUACAAUGAUCUGAAUGGUAAGUUUGAAUCUUUAUCUUCGCACGUAAAAAAGUUAGAUGUGCAAGUCGCCCAAACAGCCGACUCUAUGAAGAGGCAAAGUGGAGUUCUUCCAGGAAGAGUUGAAGAUAACCCUAAGAAGUUUUGCAACGCCAUAACCACAUUGCCCGAAGAAGAGUCCGGAACCGAUGGAAAGAAAGAAAAAACCCCAAUCUUUGUACCACUGUACAAGGAUAUCGAUCCCAAGCAGCCACCGUUUAAGGUACCCGAACGAUCACCGUUUCAAAGGCUUUCCAAAGCCGAUGAUCCGGGACGUUUUGUUUUCCAGUGUUUCAUUUCAGGAAUCAAGUUUACAGACUGCUUGUGCGAUUCCGGAGCCAAUGUCAACAUCAUGUCUAAGACAUUUGCCAAAAAAUUGGGCAUAAAAACCUUAAGGACAUCGACGGUUAAGGUUAUCUUUGGAGAUUCAUCUCAAAAAGAUACUGAAGGGGCGUUUUAUGAUCUACAAGUUCUAGUGGGAGAUAAGAUCGUUCCAGCAGAUUUCCAAGUCCUGGAGAUGGAUAAAGACAAGGAGAGGCCACUUAUUUUCGGGAGACCAUUCCUAGCUACAGUAGGAGCAAUAAUCAAUCACGCAAACCGGCAUGCUGUUUUCCUCAAUGUGGACAGAAAAAGGUACUAUCCUACUAUCUUAGAUGAAUUUCCAAGCAAAGAAAACAGGCCAAAAGAGAAAGAAAAGGAGAAGCCGAAAGCUUUUGCAAAGAUCAAGAUCAUCAUUCCACCGGAUGCAACAGAAACUAGUGAGGACCAAAUCCAGGAGUUGAUCGAAAACACGAAAAGGGUUCUGAACAACAUUAAAGUGCGAAAGAAGAUUAAAGGUAAGAAGACUUCUCUUCAAGGAGAAGAAGUAAGACCUCCACCAACCGGAAGUGAUAAAGGCACAUCAAGUGGAGUGUCAUUCAAAUCAGCCUGAUUCCUCAUGCUUACGUCGAGCUAAACGACUUAAAACAAAAGCGCUUAAUGGGAGGCAACCCAUUUAGGUACUCUUUCUUUUAGUUUUCUUUUCCUUUUUAGAAUUUAUGCUUUCUUUUUUCUUUUUAAGUUUUAGGUAUUUUAUAAAACAAAAACACAAAAAAAUCAGAAAAUUAGAAAAACCAAGGAGAAAAAGGUAGGUCUUUAGCUGCUCGGCCCGGCAAAGACGAGAAGAUUGGACAAUAGGCCGCAGGAGGAAGACCCGCGGUCGCAACUGACGGAACCGCGGCCAAAUGUGCAUCGACCGCGGCACCGUGAAUGUGACCGCGGCCGAGCCCUCAGCCACCGCGGUCGCGCGUCUCCUGACCGCGGCCGUUGGUCGUUGAGGAGACGCCGCGGAUUCCUGCCGUUUUUCGGUAUUUCCCGGUUUUGCCUGGUGAUUUCCUGGUGUUGCCUGGUGUUGCCUGGUGAUUCCCGAAAUGUUCCCGGUAAAACCCGAAAAGAUCCUCCGUAAGUUUUAAACUUUCCUAAUGUGCAAACAAGAAAAGGUAAGUUCCCGUAAACUUAAAAAAUUUCCAGAAAUUUUUCGUUUUUGCUUAAAAACGCUUUUUAAAGAAAAGAAACAAACUUUUUGGAUCAAAACUCUUUCUUCUCUUCUCUUCCAAAAGACUUAGAGAUUUAGGAGAAAGAACACAUUUUUCAAUUCUUAAGUUUUUUAAGAGAUUUUUGGCUCAAACCUCACUCUUUUCAAAGCUGAUUUCAAUUCUGCCAUCAAUUCUCUCUUUCCAGCAAGGUAUGAACCUCAAACUCACCAUUCUUACUCGAUUUUGAAUUUAGGGUUUUCUUUAAAAACCCAAAUCUUGGUCUAUUGAUGGUGGAAAUAGCUUAAGAAUGAUAGAUUAUCCAUUUAGGUUAUCUAAAAAUCGAUUUUAGCACCUAGCUUAAGAGAAAUUGAGAUUUUUGAAAUUUGGAUUCAACAUGCUUAAUAAAAAUCGAAUUUGGAACAGCAAAAUUGAUGAAUUUGAUUUGGUCUUGUGUGAUUAGUGAUUAGUAUUGGGUAAUCUUUAGAAUUCACAUGGAAAUUGCUCAUAAAAACCGAGUUUUAGAAGAUUUCUAUGUUGAGAACAUCAAAAAUCCGAAUUUAGUCAUGAACUAAUUGAUUUCUCUGAUUUAAUAUCAAUUUUGUUUGUUCAUAGUUUUAAUUAAUCUCUUUAUACUAGUAUUAGUAUAACAUAUCUUAAUGUGUUAAAAUUAGCAUCCAAAUUCACUCUUUUUCCAAGAAUCAUUUCAUUUUGCAGAAAAUGGACGAAACCAGAUCCCGAAGGAGCCGUCGAACUGGUGGCAGCUCCGAUGACAUUCCCGAUGAUGCUACUCUAGGAGAGUACAUGCUGAACCAAGCCAGACCGAGAAGAAGAAGCUAUGUGAUGAGAUUGCUCCAGCACUCGAGGGAAACACGAGCACCUCCCGAGCCACCACAGAUUCGAUACAUUGGGAGGGAGACAAACCCGAGAGUGGACUAUGCAAGGCGUUUCAAGAAGCUGAACAUCAAACCCACGCCUUGCAUUGAUUAUCAUACACUCGAGAUGCUUGGAAUCAGAGAGGAUGUGAUCUGGUACAUCGAUGCACUUAAGCUGAGACCCUACUUGGAGCUGAACCUUCCGACUUAUCCUGAGCUAGUCCGUGAGCUUUUAGCGACCGUUACACUCCACCACACAAAGAGGAGGAACCCCAGAGCAUCAGAUGGCAUCUUGUCAUUCUCUAUCCGCGGACAGCCUUAUUCUCUCACCAUUUCCGAGGUUUGUGAAGCUCUUAAGCUUCCAUACACUGAUGGCAUUUACCUUGAAGAUGAACCUGAUCUUAACCUGUGGAGAGAGAUGGGUCAUGGAGCCUAUGAUAGUGGCAGAUCUAAGUCAGCCCUUCUUAGCCACCCAGCAGUGAGAGUUGUGCACAAACUCUUAGCACACACGAUCUUCUCUAGAGCCAACAUGGGAGGUGUUUUGAAGACUGAGCUCAUUACACUUCAGAUCCCAUUUAUGGACGACCCACAACUUGCCUGCUUUGCCUGGAUCAUAGCGCAGAAUAUGGUAAAGGAGAAGCAUGAUUUACAUUUGCGAGGACGCUACUCCAGGGUGUACUAUUACAGCGAUACUACAGGCUGUAGGAUUCGAUUUCUCAUCUGAUGAUCCACUUCCCGAUGUCUGGUAUGAUCUACUUUAUCUCUCUCGCGAUCACACUAUCUCUCGUGCCGCUUUCGAUCCAGACAGGUUUGGUUACAAGUAUUGCACUGGCACUGAGGAGCACCGAGUCCGCUUACCUUCAGCAUAUAUCCCAAGAUUGAGCAAUGGAGGACGCCCUCGAUGGACUCCGGAAUCCGAUGAUUUUCUGCCAUCCGUACCUCGUCUACCAUUCACCAUUGGCCAGUACAUAGUGGCCAAGGCGAGGCGUGAUGCAGCUGCGGCCCGUGCUCAUUUUCAGCCAUCUAUUCCGACCGGCCACACCUCAUCAUCUACAUCAUCACACACUCAUUCCGAUCUGGAGCGCAGAGUUGAGAGACAUGGAUGACGCUUUGAGCGCGUUGUCACCUUCUUACAGGAGCAGCACCAAUUCGCAGACGACACUUCGGAGGAUGAGUGAUUGAUCAGCACUUCACUACCAUAACGGUUCUAUCAUCAUUUUCUUUUCUUUUAUCUUAUUUUAUUUCGCUUUUAUUCACCAUCUUCUCACCAACUUUUUCAUACUGGGGACAGUGUGAUUAAAGUCUGGGGGAGGAUGUCUAUCCGUACUAAUCAUUUUCUUGCUUUUGCUUUUAAAUUUCAAGUAUUUAUUUUUAAUUUUAAUAUGUUACCUAUUCGACAUUAAGUAUUUUUCAGGAAUGUUUGACGCAAAACUAUGAUGAUUUAGACCUGCACGCUUCUACACUAUGCAUGAUAGCUCAUUUGUGGUUAGCACUUGACUAGGCGGUAGCUAGAGUACUUGCACUACGAACUCCCACCAGAGGACUUCUAUUCAUAGAGAUUCUUUCUGACAGGAUAUACUAGCUCAUUUUAUUUGGACUUAAUAUUGAUAUCUAAUCUUUUCAUCAUUGAUUUUAGGCAGGCAUCGACAUACACAUCUAGGACGUCUUUUACCAUCACUUUUACCACUAUUUGUCGUCCUAGAUGACCAGUUUAUCUUUAUCUGGUACCAUACCCUAAACCCGAAACCCUUAUUUUCAAUCCUCAUACAUUCUCUCUUUAGUUUAUAUCAGCAGAUAUGUGCAAAAACGUCGGAGAGAAGAGGAGCGACGCAGUUUUCAGUCACUCACAAAGAAGACUGAAUGAAAUUGGGAAGGAAGAGUAUCAGAAACAUCAUGAAGCUUUACAAGACAGAUAUUGACUGGUAAUUUCGUGCUCUCUAAGACUCUAUAUCUAAAGGUGUUCCCUUUCUUUACAAAAAAAAAAAAAAAAAACGUGAAAAGAGAAAGGGAAACAAAAAGCCUAAUGAGUCUUAGACUGUCGAAAUUUGUGGAGCAAUGAGCAACCACUAUUCGUUUAAGGAGCUAUUGUUUUGAAAGAUUUAUAAAAAUCUAAGUCUGGGGGAGUUUGGAGAGAACCUGAGGAAGAAGACCAGGAAUCUAUGUCAAGAAGAAAGUGACUGAAAACUGUGGAUACCAACAGCUUCACUCUCUCUUGCGGUUUUGCAUAAUGUCCUGCAUCCUCCAGAUCUUCAGGUAACCCUUAAACACUUUAAGCCAUACCCCCAAAAUAAUCCUUCUUUACACCUGGCCUAGAUUGCCUUGCCUAGAUUUUCUUUGAUGAGAACCACCGAGAUUUUUAAUGAAUGUUAAGAGCUAGUUGACUGGAAGUUAGAUCUUAGUGCAUAGAUUUCUGCAUGACGGAUUAACGGACUAGUUAUGCCUGUAUUGCUAGUGAGAAUUUUCUAGGCUAUUCCCGAUUGAUGCAUACUGAUUGAUAUUGGUCUAGAAGUUUGGUCUCUGAGAUUUGUUUAGUUCCUGCGUUUUCAAACCUCUCGCCGAGAUUUAGCCUUCGUUUUGUUUGAGGACAAACAAAAGACUAAGUCUGGGGGAGUUGAUAACACCGGAUUUUGACCAUUUUUAUGGAUCAUUUUAAUAUCUUUUACAGGUGUUUUUUACUCCAUUUUCAAAGGUUUUCAAAGGAUUUCUAUGUUUCCGGAUUUUAAAAGACUUUUCAGGUAAUUUGGGAUAAAGAGGCACAAAAUGGAACAAAAAGACUCUUUUGGAUAAAUGCAGACCGUCAGAACUUUAAUGGAGGGACGAAGACCUUCUCACCGUCUGAUCACCCUCAAAAUUGGACAUCUUAUAGAAGAAUCAACCAGCUUUCAAUUGCACUUGGUUUGGAGACAUUCCAACGGUUGGAUCUCAAGAUAUUUCAUUAGCCCCGGAGCCACUCGAAAUCGGCCAGCAGCUCACGCGACCACGGCCAACAAGCUAAUUGCCGCGGUCAGAAGCUUCCCGACCGCGGCCAACAAGCCAAUUGCCGCGGUCACAACACUCCCGACCGCGGCAAUCAACCUCCAACUUAAAGCCCACUUAUCUGAAGCCCAAAGUCAUUCCCAGCCUCAAUUCCGGAACCCUAGAGACCAUGGAGUAUUGGAGACUAUAAAUACAUGUCAUUUAGGUCGUUUUUAGAAAAAACCCUUCAUACUUUACAGAAACCCUUUUUCUUUAGCCGUUUUAUGAGAUUUUUGUAGAAGAUUGUUCAAGUCCGAGUUCUUCAAUAGAGAAGCUUUCUUUAUCUCUAUUCUUUACUGUUUUUCAUUACUUUUAUUAAAACCAAUGAUGAUUUCGAACUCAGCCAUGUCUGAGUAGAUCUCGAGUUGGGCUUAGGGUUCCCGAAAGGGGCUCUCAUAAUCGAUUAAAAAAUCUAGGUUUAUAGAUCUGGGAUUUUGACCUGUUCUCUGUUUAUUCUUGUUCUUAUUGCAUAUAUGCUUGAUUGAUCACCUAGUAUCUGAUCUAGAUAGUUAGUGUUGCGAAAGUUUUCAUUAAGUAUCAGCCCUAGAAUGAAACAGGCGAUUUUUCCGUAGGAGUGGAAACCUACCUGCGGCGAGAUCGUGAGUAUUGACGAGUCUUGUGCAGCUCUUGCGUUCUCUCCCUUCCAGGGCCAGAGUGGAAACGUACUGGUCAGGGUUGCGAGAAACAGUUGGUUAUGAUCACGACGGUGACGUAGUCAUACCGCCGUACUCUAGCUCUAGAACCCAUAUAUUGUUAUCUGUCAAUCCCAAUCUAUCUACCUUAGUGUUAAAACCGAUUAUGAUCCCUUAGAGUUCCCAAAAGCUCAGCGUUUUUAGCCAUAGUUUACAAUUCCAUCGAUUUUUACUUGCUUUCUUAGACCUGCAUUUCAAUUUCCUUAGUUCGUUAUUUACUUGCUUUAUUUACCUUUCAUGCGAUAUUUUACUAGCCUUAUUUUCGUUUAGUUCGAUAUUUUACUUAUUCCAUUUGCAUUUCAUUCGAUUUUCUUUACUUGUUUUUUAGGAUAGAUUUAUUUGCUUUCUUUUGGUUUAGUUUAAUUCGCAAGAAAAACAACCAACCUUUAAAACCAAUUUAGUCUAGACAUAAAGUUUAAAACCGUAGAAGAAUACCAGGCACACAAAUCUCUAUGGAUUCGAUCCCUAAAUACUACAACUGAUUAGCUGUGCACUUGCGGCUUUCAUUUGUUUUGUUAAGGGUAAAACUUGUUCUCUUACGUAGUUGACACGAGCACGCAUCAGAAGCUUGGCCUCGAUGUUAAAUGAACCAAGACAAACAAUGGUGAGAUUUGACUUUCAUGGAGAAAUCCACACACUAGAAAGACCAGGCUUGUUUGAUUCUUCAGGAAGCAAAAAUCCGUGCACAAUACUUUAGAGAAAUCAACAAGAGAUAUAACUGAAUCAAAAGGCUUAAAGCUUUGAAACAAAACUAAAGUUAAUUUGACAAAAGAUGCAUGAGAAAUAAUGAAGGGGACAUAUAGCUUAUAAAGAGUUCACUCAACGGUCACAAAACAGAAAAAAGGAAUCAAAGAUUUGCAUUUAAUAGGUAAAUGAGCCAUUGGACAUUUCAAUAUCUAAGUGUGGCUCAUGAAUGUUGGACUACAAAUUUUAGUAUGUAGAAGUUGCCUAUUGUGAACAAGUGUAAAAUCUUGAAGUUCUAUAUGGUUUUUAGGACAGCUCAAAAUAAGGGUUUCAAGCAACCUCUGAAUGAUAUCGAUAUAAAAGGAAAUCUUCCUCGAUUAAAAGUCUUCUUGUAGGUUGUUUGUAGAUGAAUCUUGAAGUUGGAGAGAUAUGUAAUCAGAACUUAAGUUGGGACAUGAUUUGAGCUUGCAAGACGAUCUAGAUGGGGUGUUAAGGACCACAUAAGAAUCGGCUCGAACAAAUGGAAUUCCACUCAUCCUAUUAGCUUUGGGGGACAAAGGAAAGGUGAAACGUGUUGGUUUGAGCUGAAAUGAUGCUGGUCAAUUUUGAGAUGUUAUCUUGGCUUCAGCUCAACCCGGAAGGGAAGUAAUGGACCAUAUGUGAAUUGGCUCGAGUAAAAGUGGUUCUGUUUCAAGAGGUUAUUUGGAUCAACUCCAAACUGGAAAUGCUGGUUCGAGUGGAUUCUUCUGUAGUAAUAUAGCCAUUUUAUAUAUCUUAGAUUGCACAUAUUUAGUAUCUCUUAAUUAGGAUGUAUAUUCUCUUUCCUUAAUAUCGUUUGUACUCUCUGUAUAUAUUCAGAGGUUACUCAUUCAAUAAGACACACGAUUCCAUAAUCAUAAUAUGGUAUCAAAGCAAGUGAUCUAGGUCUCCAGACCAAUUUUUUUUCCGCUACCUUUCUUCUCUUUGCUUCUUCUUCUUCUUCUUAGAUCUAAUUCUUCUUCUCACUUCUCUGCAUUUUUUUCCAAUCAUGGCUGAUGCCACUGCUGAACGCACGGUUGUCUUUAAUGCACAAGACCCACAUAGCACUCUGCUCUCCGUCAACAUGUCAUGCGUCACAAAACUCACCAACCUGAACUACCUCAUGUGGAGUAGACAGGUUCGUGCCUUGCUUGAAGGACAUGAACUACAUCAUUUUAUUGACGCAACAAAUGAUACUCUGUCUCCUACUGUCCUCGUUAAUGGUGUUUCCUCACCAAAUCCUGCUUACGUUCCUUGGAGACGUCAAGAUCGGCUUCUCGACAGCUCUCUUAUUGGCGCAAUAUCGUUACCGGUUCAAACGGUGGUCUCAAGUGCAACCACAGCAAAAAAAAGUUUGGGAUAUCCUUGCCAGUAUUUUCGGGAAUGCAAGUCGUGGGUAUCUCAGGCAAGUCAUAUAUUAGAUUGAUUCAUGUACCAAGGGAACAAAGACGAUCAGCGAAUACCUCCGCUAGAUCAAGUCCAAAGCCGAUGAAUUAGCUCUUCUUGGCAAACCAUAUGAUGAGGAGGAACUCACAGACAAGAUCCUUACCGGUCUAAGCGAAUAUUACAAGCCUGAGAUCGAUGCCAUCUAUGGUCAUGAUAAGUCAGUAUCAUUCACCGAGCUUUACGAACGACUCCUUAAUCGUGAAUCGAUGAUUCUGUGCAAAGAAUCAUUCCGCCAUUCCCAUUGUUGCUCACACCACAGACACCAAACCGCGACAACAAUGGAUAAACAAUAAAAAAACAAUCAACCACGUAACAACAAUCAACAGCAAGGUCAACAUCUUUUUUUCGUCCGUACUUGAGUCGCUGUCAAGCUUGUGGAACACAGACACAUAGUGCCAAAUACUGCCCUGAGUUCCGAAUUGUUUGUGGAUCUGGUGCAUCUCCUUCUCAACCAUCUCAGAUGCGAAAUCCACAACAAUGGAGUGUCUCUCCAUCUCCGCAAUCAUGGCAGCCACGCGCCAACCCAGCCAUGAUGUCUGACUCCUCAACAUGGUUUGUUGACUCGGGAGCAUCUCACCAUAUAACAUCUGAUUUAGCUAAUCUCUCCAUGCAUAACCCAUACGAUGGUGGUGAUGGUGUUCUGCUUGGUAAUGGUUCUGGUUUGUAGAUCUCACACUCUGGUUCUUUAUCCUUACCCUCUUAUACUUGUCCAUUCUUUCUCAAUAAUGUUUAAUGUGUUCCAGCUAUUGAAAAGAAUUUAAUCUCUGUUUUCAACUAUGUACUGAUAAUAGGGUUGCUGAUACCUUUAUUCCAACGUAUGAGAUUUGCAAACGGCAGCUCUUUGUCUCGAGGGGAAACCUAAAGAUGGGAUGCAUGAGUGGCUGAAAUCAAUAUCAGCAAAAUCUCCUUCUUUUGCUUAUGCCUCAGCCGUGAAAAAAAGCUUAACUGAUUGGCAUUCAUGCUUGGGGCAUCCUGCUUUUCAAAUCCUUCAAAAAGUUGUUUCUCAAUUUCAGUUACCUGUUGCUUCAAACGCUUUAAUGGCUCAGCCUUGCAAUGAUUGCUCGAUUAAUAAAAUGCAUAAGUUACGUUUUCAACAUCCUUCUUUACAAUCUCAUCACCCUCUUGAUAUUAUUUUUUCUGAUGUUUGGACAUCACCGGUUCAUUCAGUUGAUGGUUUCAAAUAUUAUGUUAUUUUUGUAGAUCAUUAUACCAGAUACACUUGGUUGUAUCCAUUAAAAUUAAAAUCUCACGUAUAUGAGAUAUUUACCCGGUUCAACAGCAUUGGUUGAAAACAGAUUUCAAUCCAAGCUUAGAACUUUAUAUAUGGAUAAUGGGGGUGAAUACAUUGGUUUACAAAAUUUUAUUUCUUUGCAUGACAUUCCACAUAUGACAAGCCCGCCGCAUACGCUAGAACAUAAUGGCAUCGCAUAACGUCGUUAUCGACAUAUUGUAGAUACGGGGCUUGCCCUACUUUCUCAUGCGUUCAUGCCAAGGUCUUAUUGGACCUAUGCGUUUGCAACGGCUGUUUAUUUGAUUAAUAGAAUGCCAUCUCAAGUUAUUGAAUAUCAAAAUCCAUUUCAACGUCGUCAUGGACAUAGUCCAAAUUUUUAUAAAUGAAAAAUAUUUGGCUGUUUGUGUUUUCUGUGGUUUCAUCCUUAUGCAUCAAAUAAAUUAGAUGUGAGAUCAACACCUUGUGUUUUUCUUGGAUAUUCGCCUUCACAAAGUGCCUAUUUUUGUUUGGAUUGUGCUACAUCUAGAAUUUAUACAUCGAGAUAUGUUGUGUUUCAUGAGUCAGUUUUUCCGUUUUCUAUUCUAUCAAAUUUAGAAACACAAUUAUCGUCUGAAUCUGACAUUGCUUCACAUCCCAUAGUCUCAGUUGUUCCUACUUUUCUUUCACCUACAGGUUUUGGACAACCACCACCAGUUCGAGUGACAGCGGAAGUAGUUCCGGAUACAAGUUCAACUACUACUCUUCCUUCGAAUAGUGCUCCUCAGCUCCUGCCUCAUUCAUCUCAGUCUCAAGUCACUACAUCAGUAGCUCCACCAGCGACUACAGAAACACCAUCAGAAACUCAAACCACAACAACUCUGUCGGCUCCUAACCCACCACAACAACUCUGUCGGCUCCUAACCCACCAUUCGCAAUGAGUGAAGAAUAUAAUGCUCAAAUAGGACACAGAACGUGGGAUCUUGAGAACUUGCCUAAUGAUUCUCAUUUUAAUGUUGUAGGUUGCAAAUGGAUAUUUAUGAUCAAACGGCAUCCGGAUGGAACGAUUGCACGAUACAAAGCUCGUCUAGUCGCAAGAGGAUUUACACAAAGACCAGGGGUUGACUAUCAUGAUACGAGUCCUGUCAUAAAACCUGCCACAAUAUGGACGGUUCUCAGCGUAUCCGUUACGAACAAUUGGCUGAUACGUCAACUUGACAUCAACAAUGCAUUCCUUCAAAGAACACUUGAUGAUCAAGUAUAUAUGAUGCAGCCACCAGGAUUCAUCGACAAAGAAAAUCCUCAAGCGGUGUGCCGAUUGUGGAAAGCUAUUUACGAUUUAAAACAAGCUCCAAGAGCUUGGUACAAUGAACUACGCAAUUUUCUCCUGCAAUCCGGAUUCAAAAAUUCUCUGGCAGAUGCAUCAUUAUUCAUAUACAACAAACAGGGAGUUUAAAUUUAUAUGCUAGUUUACGUUGACAAUUUAACUAUCACUGGCAAUAAUGUUUCUCAUACAAAUCAGUUUAUUACUUCUCUCUCACAGCAGUUUUCUUUAAAAGAUUUAGAUGAUCUAUCUUUCUUAUUAGGGAUUGAAGUUCAUCGAAAUGCUAAUGAUAUUCAUUUAGCUCAAACUCGUUAUAUUGCAGAUCUGUUACAUCGUACAAAGAUGGAAAAUUGCAAGACGGUGACGACGCCAAUGUGUCUGAACUCCUCUAUUAUAUUGACUUCAGGAACAGCUUUGGAAGAUCCCACAGAAUAUCGUACUGUUGUAGGAAGCUUGCAAUACCUUUCACUCACAAGGCCUGACAUCUCGUUCCCAGUUAAUAAAUUGUCUCAAUACAUGCACAAGCCAACGACAGAUCACUGAACUGCAGUCAAAAGUAUUCUCCGUUACCUUGCGGGAACAAUGACGAAAGGAAUAUUUCUUCUCACUAACAACACUCCAACACUUCAUGCUUUCACCGACGCGGAUUGGACUGGCAACAAAGAUGAUUACAAGUCAACCAGAGCGUACAUAGUCUAUCUCGGUUUUCAUCCUAUAGCAUGGUCGUCGAAGAAACAAACUGGCGUUGCGAGAUCCUCCACCGAAGCUGAGUACCGCUCAGUGGCAUCCACAACAUCUGAAGUGAUUUGAGUUCAGUCUCUCUUAUCCGAACUUGGAGCUACCUCACCUUCUCCUCCGGUGAUAUAUUGUGAUAACAUUGGGGCAACAUAUCUUGCAGCCAACCCUGUCUUCCAUUCGAGAAUGAUUCAUUUGGCUCUGGAUUAUCAUUUCGUCCGUAACUAUAUUCAAGCAAGCCAGCUUCGAGUCUCUUAUGUUUCCUCUACUGAUCAAUUGGCCGAUGUACUUACAAAGCCGUUAUCAAGAGCACGAUUUGAAUCUCUCUCGAUCAAAAUCAGACUCUCUUCUCCCCGUCUGUCUUGAGGGGGUGUGUAGGAAUAUAGCUGUUGUAUAUAUCUUAGAUUGCACAUAUUCAGUAUCUCUUAAUUAGGAUGUAUAUUUUUUUUUCCUUAAUAUCGUUUGUACUCUCUGUAUAUAUUCAGAGGUUACUCAUUCAAUAAGACACACGAUUCCAUAAUCAUAAUAUAUUCUUUAGAGGUGUCAAAUUGGGCUCUGGCCCGCAGGUUUGACCCAAGUAGAACCGCAGCGGUGCGGGUUUGGGCUCUAUAAAAUUUGUCCAAAUAAAAAGCGGGUUUCGCGGUCCAAACCCGCGUGGAAGUUGGGUUUUUACGGGUCGGGUGAAAGCGGAUCCACGGGUUUGCGGUCCAACCCGCAGAAUUUGAUGUUUUCUUGUAAAGAUCAAAAAGUGAAGUAUUUUGUCAUCUUUGAUUGGUGGAGUUCGAAGUAGUAGUUUCAUGGAGUGAAUUGAAGCCUAAUGGAGUCACACAAUUCAGCUAUUGGGCUUUGUGAUAGCUUCAUUUCAAUGAGAUCAAGGAAUCAUCAAACUGGUAUGUGUUUUAUAUUCGAUUUGAUUCAGAUUCUAUGAUUGGAUUUUUGAAUUUGGGAGAAAAUCUGGUCGUUGUCUUCCCAGCCAAAAACUAGUUUUUUUUAGGGUUUUAAUUUUAGUUUGAUGUCAUAAGUUUGCUUCUUUUUUUGUUGGUUUUGCUCAUCGGCUAUAUCACGGACGUAAUUUUUAUUUUGUCCGCAGUGAUGCAAAGGUAAUUUAGAAUCGCUUAAAUCUUGUAUUGACAAUAAAUAGUUUUGCUUGAGAAUCAUAUUUGUUUGUACGCUGGACUAACAAAUAAGCUUUGUUCAUCUAAUUUCUAUUUUUUUUUUUGAUUUUAUAUGUCAAUGUCUUGUUGCUUGUAUCUUGAUGGUUCUCUACCUUAAAUUACCAGAUUUGAUGUGUAUCAUUAUUUGUAAUUCAUUUAUUUGUUUUUCAAAACUAAGUGUCUAUUCUUACGUUAAAUUGAUUUUUCAAAUCUUAUAGCAUCCUAGGACUAGGAGUUUUGUAUAAGAGGUUUAUCGAAUUCGUUUAUUUGUUCAUCGAAUUUACUUAGACAAAAAAAUUUCUUUAGUUUUGUUUUUAUGCAUAUUGUGAUUCAGUUACGAGCAAAACUUUAUUCUCCUCUUGCAGAUUUUCUAGUUCUAUAAGUCUAAAUGUCAUAAAAACUUUAAGAUGAAGAAGAAAGUAUGAACCCGCGAGCCAGUCUGUAAACCCGUAGAGUAUAAGCGGGUCGGACUUGGACACAUCAAUUUGGAAUCGCAGCUUAUGAUGGCUCACCAGACCUAAAAAAAUUUAAACCCGCAUCAAAUCGGGCAAUUUGGACGCGGAUUAGCCCGUUUGACAUCUCUAAUCUUCUUAAUCUCAUUUUCCUCUUUUGACUCCUUGGCUCCUUGUUCUUGAACAGCUCCGGCUCUACCUUCUUGGUCUGGUCUGGUCAUGACAGAUGUACAAAUCAAAACCACAACCCAUUCCAUAAGACACAUGAAUUAGUCGUUCCUACAUAAUCAUCAUCAUAUCCUUUUUUUUUGGGCAAUCAGCAGGGUUUAAUUUCGAGAAUAGCAUAGUUUAGGACCUUUUGUUGUAAAACACGGAUAUUUUGGGUUAAUUUCCGAAAUAUUUCCCUAAUAACUGUUACCAAAAAAAAGAUUCUGAACAAUUCAGAUAUUGGCAGCGAGUACUGGUCUUACCUCGCCUCUAUGGAAGCUCAAGUGUUUCUUCCAUAAUCAAAACCCUAAAUUCCUUUUCAAUUUCUUCUUCCGAUUCGUCGUUUCUCUUGCCAAAUUUUUCCUUGCUAUAUAAGUUUGAUAGCGUAAGGUAACAUGAGUCGCGCUUCGAUUGUAAUCUUAUCUCUUCUGCUAAUUUCGCAUAUGGCUUCUUCGAAAGUUAUGUUGAUCGGGAAGAACACAUCUCUCUCAUUCGACGAUAUCCAAGCCAAUUUCAGUAAGGUUCCUCACUUCUAGUUACUUCCAUCGAUUCCAUUUAUAUCGGGUUUCUCGUUUUUCUCUGGAUCACUGUAUAAAUUCAAAGUUUUUGAUGAAGUCUGGCAAAACAAUUUUGGAUUAGGGUUUGGAUCGCAUGUAGGAAAGUUGGAAAAUUUUGUUGCUAAUUCGUGUUUUGAUUUUGGUUCGAGAUUGGGUCUUAAUGAUAUUUAGUGACUGUAUUAAGAUAAGCUUCAUCAUGUUUUUUUUAUUUUGUUCAGCACCGUUGAUUAAGAAAUCGGAUCAGUGUGGAGUGUUGUACGUAGCAGAGCCACUCGAUGCUUGCUCGGAUUUGGUUAACUCGGUGACUGUGGAAGAAGGAUCAAUGGUUUCUCCUCCGUAUGUGUUGAUCAUCCGCGGUGGCUGUAGUUUCGAAGAGAAAAUUAGAAAUGCUCAGAGUGCUGGAUACAAAGCUGCUAUUGUCUAUGACAAUGAAGAUUAUGGCUUCUUAGUUUCAAGUAAUACACAUCUCCCUUAGCCUUUUUCGUUAUGAUCUUUGUAUCGUUUCUUGUUUUGAUUUGCUAUGUGGGAUCGGUUGGUUUCAGACUAGAUGUGUUAUACUUGAUUAAAGAUAUCUAGGAAUGUGAUUAAAUUAGAGGAUCGGUUGGUUUCAGUGUAGAUGUGUUAUAAUACAUUACUUGAUGAAAGAAAGUUAGGAAUGUGAUGAAACUAGAGGGAAGAAUCUGUUCAUAGUGUCCAUGGAUUGAGCAAGACCUACAUAGUGUCCAUGGUCAUAGUUUUUGGUUCUGUUUCAAACAUAUCAUAAUAUAGAUGGCUGAUGAUCUUGUGAACAUAAUGUAGUGGCAGGGAAUCCCUCUGGUGUACUUAUUUAUGGGACGUUUGUCUCGAAAGCAACAGGGGAACUACUCAAAAAGUAUGUGGGUCGUACCGAUAUGGAACUUUGGCUCGUACCAAGCUUCGAGACUUCGGCCUGGUCAAUCAUGGCUAUCUCUUUCAUAUCUCUCCUCGCCAUGUCAGCUGUUCUCGCCACUUGCUUCUUUGUCCGUAGGCAUCGAGUUAGGCGCCGGCGAAUUCGGUCUCUUAGUGGCAGAGACUAUCCUCGUAUGGGCAUAAACUCACUAAGAAGCAUGCCUACUACAAUAUUUAACGGUGUUUGCGAAGGAGCAUCUACUUCUAUCUCUUGCGCUAUAUGUAUUGAAGACUAUCGCAUUGGAGACAAGCUAAGGAUCCUACCUUGUAAUCACAGUAAGUACUUUGACUUAUUUCAAAGUAAAAAGAACUGUUCCUGCUUGAACAAUCUUAAUUUGUUGUUGUUGUUGUUGUCUUUGGUAGAAUUUCAUGUUGGAUGUGUUGACUUAUGGCUUGGCCAAAGGAGAUCCUUUUGUCCGGUUUGCAAACGCGAUGCAAGAACCAUAAGCAUCGAUACGCCUGCAUCAGAGCACACACCUUUGCUUUCUCCUAGCUUCACACCAACAUCAUCUUUUCUCUUAUCAUCACCUUCCACAACACCUUUGCAGUCAUCUUAUGAUCUACCAAUAUCUAUCAUACAACAGUGUCCCUCAUCGUCCACAAUGCAGCCACACACAGUCCCUAUGUAUCUCUCUCACUCUCGCUCCCAUACAAGCUUCCAAAAUGGGUCAUACCGGGGUUCCCCGCCUAUUCCGGUUAGUCGGAGUUCAGUUGAUCUCAGGAAUACCGUUUCCCAAAGAUCUUACAACUCACCUCCCUUUGUCCGGUCAAGAUACUCGCACACACUUAGCCCCGGAAUUGCAUCAGGAAGCUUGGUUGUUGGGUCGUUGUUAAGCCAGCGCGAGCAUUCACUUCAGGUAAAUGACUCGCGCAGCUCUCUCUCUCACUUUGCGUCGGCGAGCUCUCUGCCAGGCUGCUAAACCGCUAAAAGCUAACACCGAAGUAACUAAAAGGUUCAGUGUCGUGGCCCAGUGCUUUGAAGACACAAUUAACUCCUCGAGGAUUCUCCCUCUCGGCUACGAUCUAAAAUUAAUUUGUGACAGUUCCUGAUAUUGGCAAACUAUAGAGGUGAAAAGAGUGUUCAGUGUGACUGAGUGAUAUUCUUCAGCUGUAUAGUUGUGGAGAAUGAUGUAUGUGAGAUGAGUGAGUUUGAAGAGUAAAGCGUGUUUUGGUGAAUCAUUUACUUUGAUUCCUUCUGUAUAUAUAUACUUGCUCUUUCUCUUCCAAACGUUUUAACCAUUUGAUUUGAAACAUCGAACAUAUUGCAUCAAACAUAAACUACUGUAGAUACUGAUUAUUUGAUGCACUGAUGCAUUGUGGAAUGAUUUUUGAUUAUUUGAAACAAAAGAAGCAUUAUUGUUCCAUCAUAUAUAAACCAUAAACCUUGUCACUAAUUAUAUUCUUCUUCUUCAUUCGACAAUGAUCUUGAUCCUCAUUAUGGUUCUGAGACCUUUGAUAAUAUGGAUUUCAAAAUCACAUUAAGUUCCAUCUGAAUAUUGUACAACACAAGAUUUGUCAUAUUAAAACUACAGAAUAUUGAUAGUUUCUUCUCCAAAGCCAUGCAGAUGAAGUUGUAAAGUAAGAACUUUUAUAAACACAGGAAAAUCGGAGGAUACAUUGUGGUCUUGUGAAUAGAUAACACAAUCUAUCGUAGAAACUCUAUAAAUUAAUACUCGAUGAAUUAAUAAACUCUAUAAAUUAAUAAAAUUUUCUGGUCUAAAGUUGGGUUGGUUCAAAAUUUAAUACAAAUCGAUAAGAUAAUAAGAUAAUAUUUUUAACAAAACUCCUAUGUAAAUAUAUGGUCUCAUUAAUAUCAUAAAUUAAUAAUUAUCAUAAAUAAAAUUUAAUAUAAAUAUAUAUGUGGGAUAAUCUACUAAAAUAUGAGUUUAGUGAAAUUUUUUUUUAUUUAUUUUAAAUUUAAUUUUUUUUGUAACUCAUCUUUAAUUUUAGAAAAAAUGUUUUAAAGAGUAAAUUUUUUAAAAAAUUUUCUUUUAAAAAUUUUUAUUAGAAAUCUAUAAAUUAAUAACUCUAUAAAUUAAUAAAAUACCAAAGUCCAAACAUUAUUAAUUUAUAGAGUUUUUACUGUAUGUUGAUUCUUUUAUAGUUUUACUAGGUAGAUAACCUGCGCCGCUAAUUUUGUUUAAAAAUAUUGUUUAAUAUGACAAAGAAAAAUGUUCAACAAUAAAAUAAUAAAACACCAAAAUCAGAUGAAACUCAAAAAUUUAAGAUUUGAUUGAAGAAACAAGACAGUAAAGAAGACUGAGAUCUUUUUAUAUAUAUUCUAUUAUUAUUUGAGAAGGAUACUUAAAAAAGAACAUUUAUAUCAUGUGUUAUUAACAACUUUUUCAUGCUGAUGUGUUAAUCACAGAGAGUUUUUCAAGGAUUUUCUGAAAUUAGACUAAUUUACUAGAUUAAUUACAUCAUAUGCUAUUAACAUAAAUUUGGUUAAAGAUUAGUUUAUAUUAAAUAUAUAUUUAAUACUCAAACAUUUAAUUUGUAAAGAUAUUAUCUCUCUUUCUAUUUCUUAUCAACAUAUUUAUAAAAAUUUAAUAUAUAAUAUUACUUAUAUUACUAAACAUUAUUUUCUUAUCUUAACUUUCUUUAAUCUUAAUUUUGUUAAAAAAUAAUCAUAUUAUCUAUUUAAUAAUAAUAAAAUCUAAAUUUUUUCAUUCAUAUUAUAAUUCACAUUUUUUUAUAUCAAAACAAAGUAUCUUAGUCUGAUGUUAGACCGGUUAGAUAGAACAUAUUAAUCUAAUUUAGUAUAUUUAAUGUGUAAUUUUUUCAUAUAAAAAAUACUACUAAAAUUAAUUAUAAAUCAAUAAUUAUCUAGCAUUUAUGCAAUUAUAUUAUAAAAUAAAUAUAACUUUGAUAAUUAUUUAUAACUGCAUAAUCAUCAUAUAUAUUUGUAAUUAUAAAUAUCAGCUAAUAUUUUUAUAACUGUAGUUAUAUAUAAUAUAUUUGCAUAUUCGAAUAAAAGAAUUAUGAUUAAUAUUUAUCCUACACAUGGUGCAGGUAAUCAACUACUUUAUUUAUUAUUAAACUAAAAUUAAAAGAAUGUUAUAAAACAGAUGAUAAAACAAUUUAUAAUACUGAGAUGAGUCUAUAUAUGUAUCUUAUAUAUAAAAGUAGAUCAACUCUCUCCAGCUGAGUGACACAUCAGCAGUGGAGAGAGUGACACCUCUCCAUUUACAAUAUUAAUAAAAAUUAAUUAAUUAAAUUUAUAGCAAAUACAUUUAAAGAACAUAAGUAAAUACUUAUAUGUAUUAAAUUAGAAUGAUAUUCAAAUUUAAUUUAAAAAUAUUAAACUUAUAAAUAUUAUAUACAAAACUUUUUAAAUGCAUUCUAUUUUUUUCAAGUGUUUUAAAUUUCAUUUCCAUACUGAAAAUAUAAUUUAAUUUUAAUGCAAAUGAAAAAGAAUUAUGAGACUGAAUAAGUUAAAAAAAUUCAAAUAAUCUUAUAUAAAACUCCAACUAAUAAAAUUAUAAAACAAAAAAAAUAUUUAAUAAACAAUUAAAAAGAUAAAAUUAUUAAAAAAUAAUAGUAAAAAUAAGGGUGUCCACAUAAAUAUGUCAUACAUGAUUUUUUUUUAAAAAAAAGAUGGAAUCAGUAAAAUAUAUAUAGCCAAAAAUUUUCAAAAUGGUAAAUUGAAAAAUUUAACAAGUAUUAUAUAAGUAAGAUUUACAAGAAUAAUAAGAAUAUGAAAACCAAAGAACAAAUAAAUAUUUUUUUUCUGAUAUUCAACGUAUAUUUUUAAGUGAACUAUUACGUUCUCAUGCAAAAAUUAAAAUAGUAAAUUUUUAAUGUCUUAUUAUUUUGAGAAAAAAAUAGAUUUUUUGGCACAAGUAGUGUAGAAAAGAUUAGAAAUAAUGUAUCAUCAAAAAGAAAUCGAAGAAAAUAUAAAUAUUUUAAAUGCAAAAACAUUGAUAGUAAACAUAAAAUUUAAUAUAAAUUCUAAAAAUAUAUUAUUUAAAAUAUAAAUUAAAACAAGACUGCGCGUAUGCGUAGGUUCUCUCCUAGUAUAAAUAAAAGAGGGAUCUUCUUUUAAUCUUUUCGUAUAGAUUGAUAUCCGUUCUCCAAGCCUCCGAACCUUUCACCAUAGAUUACCAUCAUCUUCUAUACGCCUAUUGAUUUAGAGCAUUCUUUAUCACCAUCAAGCUAGGAGUCUCACUGCAUUAAAAUAAAUGUGUUGGAUUUGUUCGUGGAAAUGUUGUCGUCUAUUUUUUUGGUUUGAUCUGAGUUUUCUCUAAUAAAAUCUGAUGAAAACCAAGUGCAACAAUUGUCUUCUUUUAAAUAAUACAGACCAAGAAAACACCACUUAUCCAUAACAUUUUUGAGAACCGGACCUAAUUUUGACAUAAUAUUUACUGCUCAGUAAACCAACCCAAAUUCCCACUGAAUUUUCUGGGAUAAAAAAUCAAUUAUUCCAACCAAGGAAUGAAUCGAUGGAGAUUGACCCGAUGGGGAGGCAUGUUUUCUUAUCUGUCUCCAAUGAGAACUUCAGACGGGUACAAGGUAAAAGACCAAAUUGGCUAUUGUCUACCGAUCAAUUUAUCUGAGAAUAAAGGAAUGCAAAUGUCAUGGGAUCUGUGAGUUUUGAUCGGAAUCUGUCCUUUAUCUUUCUGCUACAAAACCUUUUUAGUCCAUGAUAAAUCUUCUCACCUAGGCUUAUAUAUACGCGAUUGUUCUGUUUGAUCAGCUUGGUUAACUAAUGUAAGACUGUAAAUUAAGGGUCACAGUUGAACGAUUUUCCAAUUAUGGUGAAGGUGAUGUAGCGACAUCUCUAUCUCUUUUAUGUGUUUUACAAGUUAUCCUUUUUCUUUGGUUAUUUUGUCGACUUUAUUACAAUUUCCUUUUCUCGGUAAAACUUCUAGUUUUAAUUAGGUCGGUUGAGAUACCUGUUUUAGCUAUUAUUUUAAGAGUUGGUUUUUUUUUUAAUUGAAUAAGAAAGAGAUUCUUCCUAGACAAAGUCUUCGAAUUCUCCUUGUUUAACAAAGAGUUUUUAGCAACAAAACAGAGCUUCUUGAUCCAUUAUUGAUCUUCGAGUUCUGUCUUGUCUAUUUAUCCGCUGCAACAGAAGGUGAAUGAAUCUAACGUUAGAUGAAGAGAACAUAUCAUUUGCGUUCUUAGUACAGGUAUCAAUUUCAAUUUGUUAAAAAUGUUGAUUUAUAAAUCUAAAAUGUCAUGAUUGGUCAGUUAUAUUUUAUUUGGAUUUCCUAAUCCAAGUGAUGGCAUGGCAAUUCUCUUGCCUAACACAUUUGUUGAGGCCUUGUGUAGACAUCUCUGAACUACUUAGUGGACAGGUUCUUAUUAUAACCUAUUUUCAACAUCUGAAGAAAGAUGAGUUAAACUAAGAUUUUUGUUCUAAUUGUUCUCAAAUUUGAACCGAAAAUUCAUCACGCUAUGCGACAAACAUAACAACACUUCUAGAGUUCUAGCCAUAAUACAAAUAAGCUUGAAAUCCUUUGAAAUUGUGAAGUAGGAGAACCAUGUUAAUUAGCAAUUUAAAUUAUUAGAAUCAAAGAGUUAAAAGGUUAGUUAAUUUGCUAAAAUUAAAAUCAAUGUAACAUAUUUACCCAGACGCCCAGUGUUAAUAUACGAUGGCACUACUAAUUAAUAAGCAAGUUUAGGUUCUUCUUCUCUUCAUAUUAAUUGCUUGUGAUAUGCUCAUAUGAUUAGUUAUUUAUUUUUCAAUUCAUUAGUUUGAUAAAUAUUAGUAUUUUCGUAAAUUUAGCUUAUGAGAAAAAACUGUUAAAAUAUUCGUUGAUGUAUUUUAUAAACCCUUUCCAUCUUUUUCUUUUUUUUUUUGUUUAAUUUGUUUGUUUAUUAAUUCCAUGUAAAUCUCAUCAAAUUUUGUUGAAAGAACCAUCGGAGUAGACGGCAUAGACAGGAGGUGUACGUAUAUAUUUCUUUUGCCUAUAAAUCCAUCAAAUUUUUAAUAAAAAGAGAUUAAGAAGCUGAUGUGUGUUAUUUUUGUUAGACCGCGAAAAUCCGAAUUGAAAUUACGAAGUAAAUUAAUGAAAUUAUAAACGAUAUCUUAAUGACAGCGUAUGAAAACAAGACUUUUGAAAACCGAUUUGAAAACACUGACUAACACGGAGUCGAGAUAUGAUCUAUUUCCUUAACUCAAUAAAUCGCCCGUAAUGUAUGAUGGUUUAUUGCGAUUUUUGAGUCCCAUGAUAAAACCGUGAUAAGACUAUUAUGCAACACCCAUAAUAGAAUCUGCGAACUGAAAUAACUACGCUAUAACUCUCGAGACACUUACUAUAUUAAGACAAGAGGGAUUUGCUAGAAGCUAUUAUUUUUUAGUUUUGCACUACUGAUAGGUACUGAACAUCUCUCAGUCAAUACAGAUGUGUGUGGUAGCACUUGUGUCAUACCACCACGCCUUGGGGUUUUCUUCCACCAAGUUAGCCUCUGUAACCAUUGCACACAGGUCUGUUUCAGUCAAGUUAGCUUGAUUGUUCUCAGACUUAGCCUUUCGACGACACUCUGAAGACUUAUGUCCCAGCUUGUUGCAGUAGUUGCACUUCCCAUUGAACUUGUUCUUCAUGAGUGCUUGACCUUGCUUCUUGAAGCUAGUGUUGUUUCGUGGAGGAAACUUGUUAGGCGUACCCUUGUUGAAUGGUUUGCCUUUGCCCUUUUUCUUGUAUUCAGCCAUGUUUGCAUCAUGGAUCAUGAUCUGACUAUCUUCUUUUCCAACUCUGUCACGUUUAGUGACUCAUUCUGCAAUCUGGAAAUCAGAUUUACCAGAGACAGGGCCUUUUGCUUGUAAGCAAAAUAGUUUUGGAAGUCUGCCCAACUUGGGGAUAACUUCUCAAUGAAGCAGUUUACCGUGAAUGUCUCACACAGCUUCAUUCUUUCAGUUCUAAUCUCUUGAAAGAUUAGUUCCAGCUCGUGCACUUGAGGCAUGAUGGGGAGAGAAUCCACCAUUUCGAACUUGAGAAGUUUUGCUGUUGCAAAUUUCCCAGAUCCGACAUUGUGCGAUUUGUAUUUCUUUUCCAAAGCAUCCCAUAGUUCUUUGGAAGUUUUAACCUCGCUGUACACAUCGAACAGCUGGUCCACCAAGCGAUUUUUGAUGUGGCCUUUGCAUAGGAAGUCUGAGUACUUCCAUGCGUCAACAGUAGCCAGAAUUAUAGGAUCUUUGUUCCCUUCUGGAACCUUUGGGGGAUCCUCUGUGAGGUAUUUGCUCAGCUGCAUUGACGACAGAAAGAAGUGCAUCCUUUCUUGCCACUGCUUGAAGUUCGAAUCAUCGAACUUGUCGGGCUGAACUCCCGCGAUUAUCGAUGCUGGCAUCCUGGCUUCACCCGAGCUUCCAUUGGUAGUCAUGUUGAUAUCACCGUUAGUCAUAGUUGAAUCUGUUCACAAACAAUAACCAAAGUUAGUAUUGAGAACCAAGAUUCAAAUCAGCGAUUAAAACGUUUAAGUCGCUUUAAACAGCGUUUUUCCCGAAAGGAAUUCGCUGUGAGUUUCCACAGAAUUCACCAACAGGUGUUCUUAGAACUCGUCAAACGUUUCGCGGACCUGUCUGAGACUACCACGUAAAUCGUUUCACAGAUUCGUCUAAAUCAAACGUUGAAAACUCGUUUUCAAAAUCGUUUAUAAAUAUUUUUCGCAAAUUCAAUCCGAUUCAAGCGAUAAGCAGGAAGCGGAUUUAUUGAGUUAAGAUUGUAAGACCGCAAAAAUCCGAAUUGAAAUCACGAAGUAAAUUAAUGAAAUUAUAAACGAUAUCAUAAGGAAAGCGUAUGAAAACGAGACUUUGAAAACCGAUUUGAAAAAACACUGACUAAUACGGAGUCGAGAUUUGAUCUCUUUCCUUAACUCAAUAAAUCGCCUGUAAUGUGUGACGGUUUGUUGCGAUUUUUGAAUCCCAGGAUAAAACCGUGAUAAGACUAUUAUGCAACACCCAUAAUAGAAUCUGCAAACUGAAAUAACUACGCUAUAACUUUUGAGACACUUACUAUAUUAAGACAAGAGAGAUUUGCUAGAAACUAUUGUUUUUCUGUGUGGUUUUUUUUUUCUGUUUGGAUUCGACUGGAUGCCUUUUUCUCAAGAGAGAGGCUAUGUAUUUAUAGUAGAAGAUCAUAGUGGAAAACUUUUCCAACUACCAAUGUGGGAUUUUUUACAUGUCCCUUUUUUCCUUUUCAUUCACAAUGAUUUUCCUUUUUACAAAGGUUUUCCUUUUUACAAAGGUUUUCCUUUUUACAAGGGUUUUCCUUUUUACAAGGUUUUCCUUUGUACAAGGUUUUCCUUUUUUCUUUUUAAAAGGUUAUUUCCUUUAUUACAAGGUUUUCUACUGGGCCAUAAGGCCUCAUUUCAAUUCAUACAUAAACAAUUUUAUAAGCCCGCAAGCUUUAUAAAAAAUAGUUCCAACAAUCCCCCACAUGAAUAGAAAUUACUCUAAACAUAUGCAGACUCGAUAAACUUAUGCAGACUAGACUCAAACUAGACUACAGACUCGACUGAGGAACUUUUCAAGAGUAUAAACGAAAACUAAUUGUAUCUCAGGUAGUAGCAUAUUUCAGCGUUGAACCACUCAUUGUUACAUUUGUCGGAUUUACUCAGCCAGGAGGUAAACAUGAUGUCUUGAACCACCCGGAUUUUUGUGUAAACCGAGACAACAUAUAUAACCCAGUUUCGUCUUCUCGUAGAUUUCAGUUCUCUAUUGUGUUCAUUUUGGCCUUGAACAUGCCUGGUUUAUCAUGAGUGAACUUGGAGAGUAUAGCCUUGUCUUCAUUCUCCUAGAAACGGCCUCAUUUCACACUCACUAGGUGAUUGCCAAGUACCUGUCACAUACACAGAAGGUAUCCUGUUAUACUCUAUAUACAUGUAUAUGAAGGCUAUGGUCUUAUCUCAUUAAAAGCCAUAAAGCUUAACCUUACAUAAUUACAGGAAGCACUGUUUAUCAUCAUGGAAAUUGAGCAUUUUACAGUGCUUUUCUCAGAUUCUGCUUGAUUUAGUUGUCCUUUUGAACCAACCUCUUGGGAUCUCCAAUCGUGUAGGUGGGGUUUCCAUCAAACAUCCUCUUUUGUGAUAGGCAAUAAGCCCAUUCCCUUAGAUGAUUUAAUGAUUUGAUCUCGCGGCAAGCUUUUGGUGAAUGGAUCCGCUAAACUUUCCGCUGACUUGAUGUAAUCAACCGUGAGUACACCACUUGAGAUCAGAUGCCUAAUGGUCUUAUGUCGUCUUCGUAUGUGACGAGAAUUGCCAUUAUACAGAUUAUUCAGUGCCCGAGAGAUAGCCGACUGACUAUCACAGUGUACACGUAAUGCUGGCACUGGUUUUUCCCACAUCGUGAUGUCUUCCAGGACGUUCCGAAGCCACUCUGCUUCUUCGGCUGCUUUGUCUAAAGCUAUGAACUCUGACUCCAUGAUUGAUCGGGCCAGGAGUGUCUGUUUGGAAGAUUUCCAGGAUACUGCUGCUCCAGCGAGUGUAAAGACAUAUCCACUUGUGGAUUUGGAAUUUCUAGAAUCUGAAAUCCAAUUGGCAUCACUGUACCCUUCUAACACUGCUGGUUCUUUACCAAAGUGCAGCCCAUAACUCUUAGUGUAUCGCAAAUAGUUCAACACUCUAGUUAUUGCUUUCCAAUGAGUAUGACCUGGAUUACUUGUGUAGCUACUUAACACGUUUACCGCAUGAGCUAGAUCGAGUCUUGUACAAUUGGUCAAGUACAUCAAACUUCCAAUUACCCGUGCAUACUCCACCUGUGAUACUGGUUCACCUGUGUUUUUGGUUAGGUGAGCUUGCAUAUCCAUUGGAGUUUUUGCGGUUCCAUUCGAGAAGGUCUUAAACCUCUUUAGGAUCUUUUCAGCAUAGUGAUCUUGAGACAGAGUAAUUCCAUCUGAACUCCGAAUGAUCUUAAUCCCAAGAAUGACAUCUGCAAGUCCCAUGUCCUUCAUGUCAAAUUUUCCAUUGAGCAUGUUCUUGGUUUGUUGAAUGAUAUCUUUGUUACUGCCAAUAAUCAACAUGUCAUCCUCAUACAGACAUAGCAAGAUGUAUCCGUUUGGAGUACAUUUGUAGUAGAUGCAUUUAUCACAUUCAUUAAUGCUGAAACCAUUUGACAUCAUCACAUUGUCAAACUUUUCGUGCCAUUGUUUUGGAUCUUGUUUCAGUCCAUACAAUAAUUUCACGAGUCUACACACUUUUUGUUAUUGACCCUUAACCUCGAAAUCUUCGGGUUGUUUCAUGUAUAUUUCUUCUUCUAAAUCUCCAUUUAGAAAGGCAGUUUUAACAUCUAUUUGAUGGAUUUCCAAACCUCGCAAGGUGCUACACCAAUCAAUAUUCUGAUAGAAGUUAUUCUCGUAACUAGAGAAUAGGUGUCAAAAAAAUCUAGACCUUCUUUUUGUCUGAAUCCUUGCACCACAAGGCGUGCCUUGCACUUAUCUAUAGAACCAUCAGCUUUCAGCUUGGUCUUGAAGAUCCAUUUACACCCUAGUGCUUUGAACCGUUGAGGUAAGUCAGUUAACUCGUAGGUAUGAUUCUGCAUUAUAGAGUUCAUCUCACUAUUGACUGCAUCCUUCCAAUAAGGAGCUUCUGGUGUAGACAUGGCUUCUGGGUAAGAUCUCGGUUCAUUCUCAACAAGAAAGACCAUUGUGAAAUCUUCACCAUAAGAUUUUUUCUUACGAGCUCUUUUGCUGCGUCUAGGUUCAUCUUUAACUUGUUCUACUUCCAUCUCAUUUACAGAAGUAGUUGCAUCUCUUUCUUCACGAGUGCGUUUAGUAGUUUGCUUAUCUUUAUAUGGAAAUAUGUGUUCAAAGAAUGAUGCAUUCCUUGAUUCCAUGAUAGUAUUCACUUGGACGUCUGAUACAUCUGACUUAUGUACCAGAAAUCGAUAAGCACUACUAUUGUGAGGAUAUCCGAUAAAGAUACAGUCCACAAUUUCAGGUCCGAUUGUGACCUUCUUUGGAAGUGGCACUGCGACUUUUGCUAGGCACCCCCACACUUUGAGGUAUUUGUACGAAGGUACAUUACCUUUCCAAAGCUCAUACGGACUUUUUGCCAGUUACCCUUAUGAGGUAUUUUUGUUGAGGAUAUAAUUUGUGGUGAGCAACGCUUCCCCCCACAGAUUCUGGGGUGUCCCAGAUUCCUGCAACAUUGCAUUCUUCAUCUCUUUUAGAUUUUGGUUUUUUCUUUCUGCAACUCCAUUGGAUUCAGGUGAAUAGGGGGCUGUAAUUUGAUGGAUAAUGCCGUUUAACUGACAAAACGCAUUGAAUGGUCCAUCAUAUUCUCCACCUCUAUCACUUCUAACCAUUUUUAUGGUCUUUUCCAGUUGUUUUUCAACUUCGAGUUUGUACUCUUUGAAUUUGUCCAAGACUUCAUCUUUACUACGCAACAAGUAUACGUAGCAGUAUCUUGUACAAUCAUCAAUGAAAGUUACAAAAUACUUUUUACCACCUCUUGAUGGUAGAUAUUUUAAAUUGCACAUAUCAGUGUGGAUUAAUCCAAGAGGUUCAGUAGUUCUUUCAACAUGAGGUGAUGGUGUUUUCGUGAGCUUUGCUUGGACACCAAUUUCACAUUUGUCUUUGCUAAUUUUGCAUUUUGGAAUCAUGUUCAAAUUCAUCAGUCUUUGAAUAGACUUGUAAUUGACAUGUCCUAAACGUUCAUGCCAAAUAUUAGAAGACUCAACCACAUAAGCAACUGGAUUCUUAUUAAUUAAAUCUUUGGAAUCAGGUACAACUUUGUUUUUCUUCAAGAUUGUCAUUACAGAUAUUUUGAUCAAUCCUGACUUAACAUAACCUUUUCCAAUGAAAACACUAUUUUUCCUAAGUAUCAGCUGGUCAGACUCGAAGUUGAUUGCAAAACCAUGUUUGCUCAUCAAAGUCCCAGAGAUCAGAUNNNNNNNNNNNNNNNNNNNNNNNNNNNNNNNNNNNNNNNNNNNNNNNNNNNNNNNNNNNNNNNNNNNNNNNNNNNNNNNNNNNNNNNNNNNNNNNNNNNNUGCUUUACAUUGUUGAGGAGUAACCUCCAUGCCUGAAGUCAUCUUCAACAAAACUUUUCCAGUACCUUCAAUCUUAGAUUGAGAAAUGUUUCUCAUCUUCAGUUGAUCAUCAGUCUUACACUUUUGAUAGGUACUGAACAUAUCUCUGUCAAAGUAAAAAUAACUAUAGAAGGUAACUCGCUUUCCUUAUGAUAUCGUUUAUAAUUUCAUUAAUUUACUUUACGAGUUACCUUCUGAGAUAUUUUUACACUUGUGAUAAGACUAUUAUGCAACACCCAUAAUAGAAUCUGCAAACUGAAAUAACUACGCUAUAACUCUCGAGACACUUACUAUAUUAAGACAAGAGAGAUUUGCUAGAAACUAUUGUUUUUCUGUGUGGUUUUCUUUUCUGUCUGGAUUCGACUGGAUUGGACUGGAUUUAAAAUAUCUACCAUCAAGAGGUGGUAAAAAGUAUUUUGUAACUUUCAUUGAUGAUUGUACAAGAUACUGCUACGUAUACUUGCUGCGUAGUAAAGAUGAAGUCUUGGAAAAAUUCAAAGAGUACAAACUCGAAGUUGAAAAACAACUGGGAAAGACCAUAAAAAUGGUUAGAAGUGAUAGAGGUGGAGAAUAUGAUGGACCAUUCAAUGCGUUUUGUCAGUUAAACGACAUUAUCCAUCAAACUAAAGCCCCCUAUUCACCUAAAUCCAAUGGAGUUGCGGAAAGAAAAAACCGAAAUCUAAAGGAGAUGAUGAAUGCAAUGUUGCAGGAAUCUGGGACACCCCAGAAUCUGUGGGGGGAAGCGUUGCUCACCACAAAUUAUAUCCUCAACAAAAUACCUCAUAAGGUAACUGGCAAAACUCCGUAUGAGCUUUGGAAAGGUAAUGUACCUUCGUACAAAUACCUCAACGUGUGGGGGUGCCUAGCAAAAGUCGCAGUGCCACUUCCAAAGAAGGUCACAAUCGGACCUAAAACUGUGGACUGUAUCUUUAUCGGAUAUGCUCACAAUAGUAGUGCUUAUCAAUUCCUGGUACAUAAGUCAGAUGUAUCAGACGUCCAAGUGAAUAUUAUCAUGGAAUCAAGGAAUGCAUCAUUCUUUGAACACAUAUUUCCAUAUAAAGAUAAGCAAACUACUAAACGCACUCGUGAAGAAAGAGAUGCAACUACUUCUGUAAAUGAGAUGGAAGUAGAACAAGUUGAAGAUGAACCUAGACGCAGCAAAAGAGCUCGUAAGAAAAAAUCUUAUGGUGAAGAUUUCACAAUGGUCUUUCUUGUUGAGAAUGAACCGAGAUCUUACCCAGAAGCCAUGUCUACACCAGAAGCUCCUUAUUGGAAGGAUGCAGUCAAUAGUGAGAUGAAUUCAAUAAUGCAGAAUCAUACCUACGAGUUAGCUGACUUACCUCAAGGGUUCAAAGCACUAGGGUGUAAAUGGAUCUUCAAGACCAAGCUGAAAGCUGAUGGUUCUAUAGAUAAGUACAAGGCACGUCUUGUGGUGCAAGGAUUCAGACAAAAAGAAGGUCUAGAUUUCUUUGACACCUAUUCUCCAGUUACGAGAAUAACUUCGAUAAGAAUAUUGAUUGGUGUAGCAGCUUUGCGAGGCUUGGAAAUCCAUCAGAUGGAUGUUAAAACUGGCUUUCUAAAUGGAGAUUUAGAAGAAGAGAUAUACAUGAAACAACCCGAAGGUUUCGAGGUUAAGGGUCAAGAGCACAAACUGUGUAGACACGUGAAAUCAUUGUAUGGACUGAAACAAGCUCCAAAACAAUGGCACGAAAAAUUUGACAAUGUGAUGAUGUCAAAUGGUUUCAGCAUUAAGGAAUGUGAUAAAUGCAUCUACUACAAAUGUACUCCAAAUGUACUCCAAACGGAUACAUCUUAUUAUGUUUGUAUGUGGAUGACAUGUUGAUUAUUGGCAGUAACAAAGAUAUCAUUCAACAAACCAAGAACAUGCUUAAUGGAAAAUUUGACAUGAAGAACAUGAGACUUGCAGAUGUCAUUCUUGGGAUUAAGAUCAUUCGGACUUCAGAUGGAAUUACUCUAUCUCAAGAUCAUUAUGCUGAAAAGAUCCUAGAGAGGUUUAAGACCUACUCGAAUGGAACCGCAAAAACUCUGAUGGAUAUGCAAGCUCACCUAACCAAAAACACAGGUGAACCAGUAUCACAGGUGGAGUAUGCACGGGUAAUUGGAAGUCUGAUGUACUUGACCAAUUGUACAAGACCCGAUCUAGCGCAUGCGGUAAACGUGUUAAGUCGCUACACAAGUAAUCCAGGUCAUACUAAUUGGAAAGCAAUAACUAGAGUGUUGAACUAUUUGCAAUACACUAAGAGUUAUGGGCUGCACUUUGGUAAAGAACCAGCAGUGUUAGAAGGGUACAGUGAUGCCAAUUGGAUUUCAGAUUCUAGAAAUUCCAAAUCCACAAGUGGAUAUGUCUUUACACUCGCUGGAACAGCAGUAUCCUGGAAAUAUUCCAAACAGACACUCCUGGCCCGAUCAACCAUGGAGUCAGAGUUCAUAGCUUUAGACAAAGCGGCCGAAGAAGCAGAGUGGCUUCGGACUUCCUGGAAGACAUCCCGAUGUGGGAAAAACCAGUGCCAGCAUUACGUGUACACUGUGAUAGUCAGUCGGCUAUUUCUCGGGCACUGAAUAAUCUGUACAAUGGCAAGUCUCGUCACAUACGAAGACGACAUAAGACCAUUAGGCAUCUGAUCUCGAGUGGUGUACUCACAGUUGAUUACAUCAGGUCAGCGGAAAAUUUAGCGGAUCCGUUCACCAAAAGCUUGCCGCGAGAUCAAAUCAUUAAAUCAUCUAAGGGAAUGGGCUUAUUGCCUAUCACAAAAGAGGAUGUUUGAUGGAAACCCUACCUACGCAGUUGGAGAUCCCAAGAGGUUGGUUCAAAGGGACAAUUAAAUCAAGCAGAAUCUGAGAAAAGCACUGUAUAAUGCUCAAUUUCCAUGAUGAUAAACAGUGCUUCCUAUAAUUAUGUAAGGUUAAGCUUUAUGGCUUUUAAUGAGAUAAGACCAUAGCCUUCAUAUACAUGUAUAUAAAGUAUAACGGGAUAUUUUCUGUUUAUAUGACAGAUACUUGACAAUCACCUAGUGAGUGUGAAAUGAGGCCGUUUCUAGGAGAACGAAGACAAGGCUAUACUCUCCAAGUUCACUCAUGAUAAACCAGGCACGUUCAAUGCCACAAUGAACACAAUAGAGAACUGAAAGCUACGAGAAGACGAAGCUGGGUUGUAUCUGUUGAUUUGGUUUACACCAAAAUCCGGGCGGUUCAAGACAUCAUGUUCACUUCCUGGAGAGUAAAUCUGACAGAUAUUAACAGUGAGUGGUUCAAGGCUGAAAUAUGCUACUACCUCAGAUACAGUUAGUUUUCGUUUACUCUCGAAAAGUCUGUUAGUCGAGUCUGUAGUCUAGUUUGAGUCUAGUCUAGUUUGAGUCUAGCCUGCAUAAGUUUAUCGAGUCUGCAUAUGUUUAGAGUCAUUUCUAUUCAUGUGGGGGAUUGUUGGAACUAUUUUUUAUAAAGCUUGCGGGCUUGUAAAAUUGUUUAUGUGUGAAUUGAAAUGAGGCCUUAUUGCCCAGUAGAAAAGCCUUGUAAUAAAGGAAAUAACCUUUUAAAAAAGGAUAACCUUGUAAAAAGGAAAACCUUGUAAAAAGGAAAACCUUUGUAAAAAGGAAAACCUUUGUAAAAAGGAAAAUCUUUGUAAAAAGGAAAAUUCUUGUGAAUGAAAAGAAAAAAAGGGACAUGUAAAAAAUCUCACAUUGGUAGUUGGAAAAGUUUUCCACUAUGAUCUUCUACUAUAAAUACAUAGCCUCUCUUGAGAGAAAGGCAUCCAGUCCAAUCCAGUCGAAUCCAGACAGAAAAGAAAAACACACAGAAAAACAAUAGCUUCUAGCAAAUCCCUCUUGUCUUAAUAUAGUAAGUGUCUCGAGAGUUAUAGCGUAGUUAUUUCAGUUCGACGAUUCUAUUAUGGGUGUUGCAUAAUAGUCUUAUCACGGUUUUAUCCUGGAAUUCAAACAUCGCAACAAACCGUCACACAUUACGGACGAUUUGAGUUAAGGAAAGAGAUCAUAUCUCGACUCCGUGUUAGUCAAUGUUUUCAAAUCGGUUUUCAAAGUCUCAUUUUCAUACGCUUUCAUUAAGAUAUCGUUUAUAAUUUCAUUGAUUUACUUCAUGAUUUCAAUUCGGAUUUUCGCGGUCUAACAAUUUUUUUCAUUUUAAGUGUUUCAAAUUUUAGUGAGACUAGAUUUUGCGUCCACGCUACGCGUGAAUAUUUUGUUGAUAAAAAUUUUAUGCAAUCAACUAUAUUUAUUAAGAUAUAAAUUUAUAUAUUAAUAUUUUAUUAAUAUAUUAAAAAUAUUAUAGUGUUAGUCUUAUAAUUUUUAUGUAAGUUGUGAGGUUUUAAUGAUUUUGUUUUGAAUCUAUAUACAAUAUGUCAUAUUUCAAAACGUAUUAUCUGGUCAAACACUUAUAAAUUAAUAUAUCCAAACCAACUAAAAAUAAUUAUGCAAAUUAAAUCCUACUUUUAAACAUAGUAUUGGCAUGAUGAUAACAUAUUAUACAUUAACUUCUUUAAAUCAAGGAGAUAAUUAUUUUUCAUCAUUUUAACUUUUAUUCUAAUUAUAUAUGUGUUCUUUAAAAACAAUAAAAACAAUAAAAAUUAAAAACUGAAUCUUUUUUUCUUCUCUUGUUUAACCAAUAUAAAUUUUUUUAAUUUUGAUAUAUUAAUUUUAAACAAAACUAAUAAAUAAAAUGUUUGCUUUGUGAUUAAUAACAACUUUAAAUUUAAAACCAAAACAACAGUUGAAUAUGUAAUCACACAAAAUUUUUGAAUUAAAUAUAUUUUGUCAAUCGGUUGUGUAAACUUUUAACUAAUUUUUUAAAGAUUAUACAUUAUCUCUUCUAAUAAUAAUGAAUUUUUUUUCAUCAUGUUCAUUUUUAUUCUUGUUAUAUCUGUUUUUAUAAUAAAUGUAUCAUAUUUAUUUAUUUUAAUGAUUUUUGUAUGAUUAUAAUCAAUUUUAUCAUAUUCAUUCUCACUUCUUCUAAUUAUAAUUAAGUAAACAAAACCGGUACAAUUUAAUACAUACAAAUUUUAAAAAUGAAACAACAAAUUGAACAACUCAAAACUAAGAACUUCUACAUUAAUCUAUUGCAAUUCCAAUUAAAAUUUACAAAAUGUAAAAUUUUUGAUCAUUUUUGCAUAAUAUAUUACAUGAGAUUAUGUAGAAAUAUAUUUUGCAUAUGUGAAAAACAUUUAGAUAAAUAUAAAUCAUAUAUAUUAGUUAUUUAAAAUUAUACGUGAAGCCUUAAAAUAAAGUAACUUAAACUUGUAUAAGUAGCAUAUUUUUUUCGAUAGAGAAAUAUUUAAAUUUAUAACUUAAACAGUGAUAAUGGAGAUUUUAAUAUCAUGUUGGUUUUUUAAAAUAGAGAUUUCUUUAUUUUCUAAUUUAUUUAUUAACCAUAAUAUUAGAAUUAAGAAACUUUUUUAAUUUACAAUUUUGAUAUAUACAAAAUUAAAUUUUUAAAUGCUGAUGUAGAUGCCUUGAAAAUAAUAUAGCUUUAAAUGUUAUUAAUAAUAGAGUAAUUUAAUUAACAUUUUUUCCUAUACUUUUUUGUAUUAACAAUAUAAUUUUAUAAUUUAAAAACUUUAUAAAUUUUUGUUAUUGAUGUGGACUAAUAAAAUUGACGUUUUAAAUUUUAUGUGGAUGUCCUUAGAGGCAUAUAGCUUCAACUUUUAUUUUUUUCUAUAAAUAUAUAUUUUGUUAACAAUAUAAUUUUAAAUUUUGAAAAUUUUCUUAAUUUUCUUAAUUUUAAAUAAUAAUCUGCACCAAUAGAAUUGAACUUAUCAUAUGUGGAUAUUUUUAGAGGCAUAUAGCUUUAACUUUAAUUAGUAAUAGAUUUAGAAAUCAAAGCUAGAAGAUCCCACACGAGAUCCGUUGAGGCAAGUGAUUUUGGUCUCUCCUCCUUGUUUUGAGGCUUACCGAAUGUAUUCAGAUGUUGUUUUUUCAGCUAAUUGUUACCUUUGUGGUUUAGGUUGGGUUGUUAAAAUCUCAUAAGAUGCAAUGUUAUUUCAAAAUUUUUCCUCGGAUAUCUCAGUCUCUUUCGUCUUAAUGACAGAACAUUUUUCUCUAUUUUCAGUGCUCUGUUUUCCAAAAGUGUCGAGUAUCAAUCACUUGAUAUGUUUCUUGGAUUGCUUAAAAUUUAUCAUUCUUCUCAAAUUCGAUGGCUAAGAUUUGGAGAUUUUACGGUCUCUUUUUCAAUAUUAAAGUGGUUUGUAGUGGUUUUUUUUAUAUCUCCUUUCAUUAGUUUAGCCAAGUGGGUUCUUUAUGUUGUAAUGACUCAUUCUUUAGUGAAACUUAACUUUAUUAUUAUUUUUUUUUAUUAAUUUCAAAUGGUUGCACACACAGAAAAAAUAAACCUUCAAAUUUAUUAUAGUUAUGUGACAAAAUUUGGAUACUAAUGUAAGGGUCUCUAAUUAUGUGUGUAUACAUCUAAUUUAAAUUUAAAAUUUCCUAUUUUAAUAUUAUUUAUUUUAGUUUUUUAUUAUUAAUAUAUAUUUUAUAUAUAAUUUUUUAUCUUUAAUAAACUUUUUAAAAAAUAAUAAAAUGUGAAAAUUUUUUAAUUUUUAAUGUUGAAGUGGACCAAUAGAAAGUUAUACAUAAUUUCUUUAUUUAGCAGUAAUAUUAGAUUUGUAAAAUUUCUUAAUUUCCUUAUUCAGCAAUAAUAUUAGAAUUUGUAAAUUUUCUUGAUUUUGAAUGUUGAUGUGGACCAAUAAAAUUGUAUUUUAAAAUCCUAUGUAGACACCCUGAGAAGCAUUUAGCUUCAACUUGUAUUAGUAAUACUAGAUUUUGCGUCCACGCUACGCGUGAAUAUUUUAUUGGUAAAAAUGAUAUGCAAUUAAUUAUAUUUAUUAAGAUAUAAAUUUUAAAUAUUAGGAUUUUAAUAAUAUAUUAAAAAUUUUAUGGUGUUAAUCUAAUAAUAUUUUUAUGUAAAUUGUAAGGUCUCAACAGUUUUUUUAAUAUAUAUAUAUAUAUAUAAUAUGUCUCCUUUCAAAAACGUAUUAUUUGGUGAAACACUUAUAAGUUAAUAUACUCAAAUCAACUAAAAUAUUUAUAAAACAAUCAAAUUCUACUUUUUAAACAUAAUAUUGACAUGACGAUAAAAUAUUAUACAUUCGCUCCUUCAAAUCAAGAAGAUAAUUUUUUUUUAUCAUUUUCACUUUCAUUCCAAUUAUAUAUGUGAUUUUAAAAAAAUAAAAAUUCUUAAAUUCUAAAUUUAAUAUAUUUUUUCUCUUGUUUAACAAUUACAAUUUUUUGAUCUAUUAAUUAAAAAACAAACUAAUAAAUAAAAAUUUUGUAUUGAGAUUAAUAACAACUUUAAAUUUGAAACCAACAAAUAGUUGAAUAUGAAAUGAUUAAAAUCACACAAAAUUUGUGAAUUAAAUAUAUUUUUGUCGAUUGCUUGUGUUAACUUUUGAAUAGUUUUUCAAUAAUUAUACCUCAUCUCUUCUAAUAAGAAAACAAAAAAAAAGAAAUUUCAUCUUGUUCAUUUUUAUUAUUGUUAUAUCUGUUUUUUUAAUAAAUAUAUCAUUUUAUUUAUUUAAAUGAUUUGUUUUAUGAUUAUAUUCAAUUUCAUCAUAUUCAUUGUCACUUCUUCUAAUUAUAAUUAAGUAGGCAAAAUCGAUACGAUUUAAUAAAUACAAAUUUAGAAAAAUGAAUAACAAACUGGAUAACUCAAAACUAAGAACUUCUUCAUUAGUUUAUUGCAAUUCCAAGUCAAAUAUACGAAUGUAUUUUUUUCAAUCAUUUUUGCACAAUAUAUUAUAUAAGAUUAUGUGGAAAUAUAUUUUGUAUAUGUGAUAGAAAUUUAGAUAUAUAUAAAUCAUUAAUAUUAUUUAUUUAAAAUUCUACUUGAAAGACAUUUAAAUCAAGUAACUUAAAUUUGUAUAAGUAGCAUAUAUUUUUUAUAUAAAAAAUUAAGUGUGUAACUAAAACAGUGAUAAUGGAGAUUUUAAUAUCAUGUUGGUUUAUUUUUUUUGUUAAUGGAGAUUUUUUUUUUAUUUUUUUACUAUAAUAUUAAAAUUUCAAAACUUUAAAAUUUUUAGAUGUUGAUGUGGAUGCCUUGAAAAUAAUUUGGCUAAACUGUUAUUGAUAAUAGAAUAGUUUAAUUAACAAAUUUUUUCUAUAUUGUUUUGUAUUAUCAAUGUAAUUUUAAAAUUUAGAAAUUUUUUUAAUUUUAGUUAUUGAUGUGGACUAAAAACAUUGACUUUUUAAAUCUUAUGUGGAUAACCUUAGAGGCAUAUAGCUUCAAUUUUUAUUUUUUAUAAAAAAAAUUUUGUUAACAAUACAAUUUUAAAAUUUGAAAUUUUUCUUAGUUUUAAAGAUCGAUGUGAACCAAUAGAAUUAAAAAUUUUAAAUCCUAUGUGGACACUCCUAGAGGCAUAUAGCUUCAGGUUUUAUUUAUAAUAUAUUUAGAUAUUAACGCUGGAAGAUCCCAUACGAAGCCUAUUGCGGCAAGUGAUUUUUGUCUCUCCUCCAUGUUUUGAGGCUUACUGAAUGUAUCUGAUGUUAUUUGGUUCAGCUAAUUGUUACAUUUGUGGUUCAAGUUGGGUUGCUAAAACCUUGUCAGAUGCCAUGUUAUUCUAAAUAUUUUUCUCGGAUAACUCAGUUUCUUUUUCUUUAAUGCCGGAACCUCUUUCUCUAUUUUUAGUGCUUCGUUUUUCAAAAGUUUCGGGUAUCAAUCACUUGACAUGUUUCUCGGAUUACUUGAAAUUUAUCAUUCUUCUCAAAUCCGGUGGCCAAGCUUUGGCGAUUUUACGGUCUCUCUUUCAAUAUUAAAGCGGCUUUCUAGUGGCUUUGUUUAUAUCUUCUUUCAUCAUAUUCUUUUUAAUUUAGCUAAUAGUUAAACAUAUAGUUUAGUCAAGUUGGUUCUUAAUUUUACGUUGUAAUGAUUUAUUCUUUAGUGAAAUCUAACUCUAUUUUUUGCCUUUUAAAUUGAAUGGUUGUACACACAUAAAAAUAUAACUUACAAUUUAUUAUAUUUAUGUAACAAAAAUUUUAAUACUAAAGGAGUCUCUAAAUAUAUGUGUAUAUAUAUGUAAAUAAAUUUUAAUAUUUUAUUUUUUCUUAGUUUUAUAUAAUUAAAACAUUUAAUUUAAAUUUAAAGUUUUCCUAUUUUAAAAUUAUUUUAUUUUAGUUUUUUUAUUAUUAAUAUAAAUUUUGUAUAUAAUUUAUUCAUCUGUUGACAAAAAAAACAAUUUAUUCAUCUUUAUUCAUUUUUUUAAAAAAAUAAUAGAAUUUGAAAACUUUUUAAUUUCCAAUGUUGAGGUGAACCAAUAAAAAAUUUAUACAGAUUUUUUUAUUCAGCAAUAAAAUUAGAAUUUGUAAACUUUCUUAAUUUCCUUUUUCAACAAUAAUAUUAGAAUUUGGAAAUUUUCCUUAAUUUUGAAUGCUGAUGUGGACCAAUAAAAUUAGUUUUUAAAAUCCUAUGUGGAUGUCUUGAGAAGCCUAUAGCUUCAAUUUUUAUUAGUAUAAGAAGACUAGAUUCUAACACAGGGAAGUUUUUUUUUGUUUAUCAAAAUUUGUAAUUUAUUUGUGUUUUUUGUGUGUUUAGAUAUAGUUUAUGUUUUUGAUAUAAUUUAUUUUUAUAGAUAUAUUUUGUUAAUAAGUUCAAAUAUUUAUUUUAUGUUUAGAAAUAAUUUAUUUUUGUAGAUUUUUUCUAAUAUUAAAUAUAACAGUGAUUGUAAAAAUAUACUUAUAACCCAUAUGUUCAUAUGAAUACGAAUAUAAGUGCGAUUAUAAAUAUAAUCUAUAUUAUCGUAGAUAGAACUAUUUACUAAUUUAAAAAUUAAAAUCUUAGACUGAUUGAUCAUGAUAAAAAUAUACAAUAACAUAUGUUUAUCAUCUCUGUAAUAUUAUUUAAAUUUAAAUAUUUAAAUUAAAUCUAAAUUAAUAUCUGAUGUAUUAUUUUUGUAAGAUAUAAUAACAUCUGACUAUGAUAAUUAAUCUAAUCUAAACUAAAAUUUGAAUUUCAGAAAGUAUUUUUCAACAAAUUAAUAUUUAACCAAAUUAUUGACUUGUUUGGCAAUUAGAAUAGCUAUCCUCCAAAAGAAUAUCGUAAUAUAAUAAUUUUCUAAGGAUGAUAUUUUUAAAAUUAUAUAUUAUCUUAAUUCAUUAUUAAUUUAUCUUUAUAUAUUUAUAUUUGUUAAAACAAAAUUGAUUAACAUUAACACAGUUUCCAAAUAGAUUUUUUUUUUAAUUAAAAGCGUUUGGAUGCAGAGACUAAAAGUGCAUAUGUUUAACUCUAAGAUAAUUGAAAAAGCUGAGGUGUCAAGAACCAAUUAUGUUUUUUUUUUUUUGAUUAAUCUCUUUUACUUCUUCUAUUCCAGUUCAAUUGGUUCGUAAAUUAUUUUUGUUUGUUUGUUUGUAAGGCUUUUAUUGAUACCUUUAUAUUUUACCCCAAAAAAGUGAAACACAUAGCACUGAAAAUAUUAGUUACUUAUUAAAUAAAAGUGGAUUGUACACCUAACACACACAUUUAAGUAAAAAUAUAUUACCUUUUUUUUUGGAUAAAUAUAUUAUCCUAAAACCUAGAUCGAAUACCAGGGCAAUUUAAUAGACAGAUGACAUCGGAAAAAACUAUAUCUUCACAACGGAAACAAACAUCAUCUCCAAGUUUGAUGGCAUCAUCUUCUUCUUUUGAUUCAUUCUUUGGCCAGAGAUAAUCGAAGAUGUCGAGAUCAAACUAUUAAGGCAUCAUCCAAAACAUACAGGUUAUGUCCACUUAUUAAAGCACAUUGAUGCAAUAAAUCUAGAAUGUGAACAAAACAAUUGCAAUUGAAAAAAUAGGGAGAAAAAUAGGAAUCCAAAUAAAAUUAAGCAAUGGAUCUAAUAAAUAAGAGGAUGAAAGAUCAUCAUCUCACAUGUUUCGUACGUUACAAGGCACUAUAAAUUAAUAAUGUUGAGAUUUAGAAACUUUGUUAUUUUAUUAGAUAACUAUCUGCAUAUAUGUGUUUAUAAGUUAAUAUUUUAUAACCCAUGAAAAUAAUUUUUUUUAAAAAUGAGAUCAUCCAUGAAAAAUAUGUAAUAUAUAAAUUUAAAAACAAAGUUAUCAGCUAUCAUAAUAUUAUUUAAACACAAAAUAAUAAGACUACAAUAAUUAAAGCAAUACUAGUCUACAUGACUACACUAAUAUAACAAUAACCAUUUUACACAUAAACCUAACAUGAGCAACAUAAAAAAAAAAAAUUACAUGUCACUUAUGAACAAAAAUAUUAGCAAAAUAUUUUUUGGUUGCGAAUUUGUAAUCUAUUUUUUAAUUUCCUAUGCUAAACUGAAUAUAGUUUUUUUUGUUUUUCUAAACUGUGAUUUUUAUUCCUUUUUUAUCUAUUGAUUUUUUUCUUAGUCUAAACAUAAUUUAUCACUUACUUUUUAGGAUUAGGUUCCAAUUAUAAAUUUUAUUUUUGAAUAAAAUUUGUUAAAAAUAUAAUUAAAAUUUAAUUAAACACAUAUCAAAAUCUAAUCAUUUAACUUGAUAUGUGUCAGGAUCAGACGAGUUACUAACUUCAAAUCAUUUCUUCUUUAUAUAAUAAAAUAAUAUAUAUUAAAAUUAAUAAUGACACAAAAUUAUAUUAAUUAAUCAAUAGAUAAUGAAUAUGUAAAGAAAAUUUUGAUUUUAGUCCAUAAUUUUUAAAAAUUAUUCUUUAAAUAAUUUUUAUUUAGGAUUUUAAAUAAGUUUAUUUAUUAAAAUGGUAUGUAUGAAUCUGAGAUUAUAUUAUCAAAAUAAAUAUAUGUUAUUAGCCUUUCAAACUCCUCUUAUAAAGAUUAUACACGUUAAAAGUUCAAAGUUUAUAAGUAAUGAUGACUAUUUAUAUUGAUGAAGAAGUUGAAGACAAUAGUAUGAUACAUUUAAAAGUAUUUAUGCAUAAAAAUUUAAAUAUCACAGUUAGAACUUUUCAUGAUUUUUGGAUUCAUAUCAAGAAAAUAUAGCUAUCAGUUUUUGAUGUAAUAAAAAUUUAUAAAUAGUUUAAAAUAAAAAAACCAUACAACUCUAUAGUCGUACAUAGUAUAUUUUCUUAGGUGUAUAUCCAUAAGAUUAUAUAUUCAUUAAUUUAAUUUUAAGAAAUUAAGCCAUCCGGCAUAUUCUCUCACUAAACUUUAGAAAGAGAAAGUUCUCUCAACUUUUCUCCGUGUUUUUUUGUUGGCCGGUGGCCGGUGUUAUUCCGACCCGGCACUGUGCUGUUUAUAUUUUCGGAGAAUAAAUUCCGGUUGAUCCGGAUCUCUUUCCUUGUAAUCUUUUCAUCUUUUUGUUUUGUUUAAUUUCCGUUUAUCGGAUAAAAUUUCUGACUUAGUUCGGAUCUUAUCUUCCGGCUGUGACCGAUUUCUCACCUUUUGCUUUCUCUUUCUCGGCUGUUCUCUGUUUGUCGGAAUUGCUGUGUUUUCUUUUAGCUUUUAUUUCAGGUUUUCUUCUUUGCGAGGAGUAAUUUCUUUGUCGGAAAUUAUUGUUUUGUCGUUAUCCUCUUGCUUGUCACUCGGAGCAACGAUGGAACACAGCUCAGACCAAUAAAUUAGGUCUGAACGGCGACGAAGCUUCCUGGGAGGAGGAGAUUUGGAAAAAGCUCAAAAGCGGUUUCAAUUCUAUUUCAGCUUUAUUUUCUGACUAAUAAUUUCCGAGAUAUGAAGGAUGGCAGAAGGUUAGCAUCUUGGUACAAAUUUUUUUGCUGUGGAAGUUAGAGUCGUUGGAGAUGCAGUUCACCGGAGUUUGCAGUCGCCGGCGGCGAAGAGUGGUGACGGAAGCAGCAUCGAUUUCGCAGACAAGCCUGGAGUAAGACACCUGUUUUUUUCUUUGUUUCAAGAGAUAACGUGUGGCACUACACGUGUUUGGAUUGUGCCUUUUAUGGGCUUUGUUUGUUUGGGCUUCUCUCGUACUAUGUAUGCUUAGCCCUUUGGGUUCUAAUGAAUCAGAUAGUUGACAAAAAAAAAUAUAUAUAAUUAUUAAUUUAUAAUAUGAC